ACAGUAUAAUAAAUUACAUUGGAGACAUGGUCGGCGGAAGAAAGGGUAAAGAGAUGGCUCGAUUAACAUUAAUAUCGAUGCUAUUUCUCUGGGCAGGAUCAAUGCUUAUGGUCCAGGGCGGAGAUCCCACCCUUUUUUUUGAAUGGAACGUCACCUAUGGCACCAUUGCUCCUUUGGGAGUGCCAGUAAAGGGUAUUCUUAUUAACGGGCAAUUCCCGGGACCAAAUAUUAACUCUACCACCAACAACAAUAUUGUGAUCAAUGUAUUCAAUAACCUUGAUGAGCCAUUCCUUGUAACAUGGUAAGCGACUAUCAAGAGUAUUUUCUUUUUUACAUUAAUAUGAUUAUGCUAGUGAAGAGUUGAGCUAAUUAUAUGUGGAAAUGGGAUUUGUUGCAGGAACGGCAUUCAGCAUAGGAAGAACUCUUGGCAAGAUGGUGUUCUGGGAACCAACUGUCCUAUCCCCCGUGGGAAGAAUUACACAUAUAAAUUCCAGGUGAAGGAUCAGAUUGGCAGCUACAUCUACUAUCCCGUGACGGCUAUGCAUAAGGCGGUUGGUGGUUUCGGUGGCCUCCGUGUUAACAGCCGUCUACUCAUCCCUGUUCCCUACGCUGAUCCGGCUGAUGACUAUACUCUCUUAGUGGGAGACUUUUUCAACAAGGGACACACCAGCCUCAAGAAGAUUCUUGAUAGCGGUCGCAACCUUGGGAGAUGUGACGGUGUCCACCUUAAUGGGAAAGUUGCGAAAGGUGAUGGGAAGGAUGAACCUCUGUUUACGAUGGAGGCAGGCAAAACGUACAAGUACAGGAUUUGCAAUACGGGUAUCAAGACAUCUCUGAACGUCAGGUUCCAAGGCCACACCAUGAAAUUGGUUGAGAUGGAGGGUUCCCACACAAUGCAGAAUGACUAUGACUCCCUUGAUGUGCACGUUGGACAGUGCUUCAGUGUGCUUGUUACUGCCAACCAGGAACCAAGGGAUUACUAUGUGGUGGCCUCUACCCGUUUUACCAAACGUGAGGUUACAGCAACUGGCAUCAUCCGUUACAAGAAUGGCAAGGGAGCUGCCUCAUCCGAGUUGCCACCACCACCUGUUGGUUGGGCUUGGUCACUCAAUCAAUUCCGUACCUUCCGUUGGAACUUGACUUCUAACGCUGCUAGGCCUAAUCCUCAGGGCUCCUACAAAUAUGGUUCUAUUAACAUUACCCGCACCAUCAAGCUUGCCAACACUGCACAAAGAGUAGAUGGCAAGCUCCGAUAUGCUCUUAAUGGAGUCUCCUAUGUCGAACCAACCACUCCACUAAAACUUGCAGAAUACUAUGGCGUAGCCGACAAGGUUUUCAAGUAUGAUACCAUUCCCGAUGAGCCUCCAAGUGACAACACUAAGGUAACUUUGGCACCUAUUGUCCUCAACAUGACACAUAGAAACUUUGUGGAAAUCAUCUUCGAGAAUCACGAGACCGCCAUUCAGUCCUACCACUUGUCUGGCUACUCAUUCUUUGCUGUGGGGUAAGUAUAGCUUCUAACAUAGCCAAUACAUGUGGUGAUUUGCUUGAGUUGAAGUAAUAAGUUGUAUAAUGAUUUGUCGCAGCAUGGACGUUGGGAAAUGGAGCCCCGAGAAGAGGAUGAACUACAAUCUUCUUGACGCCGUGAGCAGACACACCAUACAGGUAUUCCCCAACUCCUGGUCAGCAAUCCUAUUGACAUUCGACAACUGCGGGAUGUGGAACCUGAGGUCGGAGAUAUGGGACAGGCAUUACCUUGGGCAACAGCUUUAUGCUAGUGUUAUUUCCCCUAACCGAUCCCUCAAGGAUGAGUACAACUUACCGGAAGGUGUAUUGACUUGCGGCAUCGUGCAAGGCAUGCCAAGGCCUCCACCUUUCAGCAGUUAAUUUAAUUAAGCUUAUAAAUCUGUAUCCAAUUAUAGAAUAUGGGGAGAGAGAGGGUGAGAAAAGCUGAGUUCUGUAUAAUAUUUAAUGAAAUAAAAGCUUUUGGAUCACUUUAUUAUUACUAAUUUUCGUGUGUUGCCCUCGAAUAUACACGCAUUUAAGUUAUUUUCAAUAUAAAAAACUGAUAUUUUCAAAAUUGUACAAUAUUUAAAGAUGAAUGAUUUAAAAAAAUGGUUUAUACUACUAAUUAUUUUGAUAUUUUCAAAGUUGAAAUAAAUAAAUAAUUAAGUUAUAUUAACAAAGAAAUUUAAAAUAAAUAAUCUAUAUAUAUUUUGUUGAUAUAUUCAUCAAUAUAAAUAAAUCAUUCUGCUAUGGCGGUUCAACUUUGUGUUUUUUUUUAUUCAUUUAUUUUUGUAAAUUUCAAAUUUGUAUAUUAGAUAUGUACUACUACUAGAUAUGUCAAAUUGUAAAUAUUUAUUUGUCAAAAAGGCUCUUUAAAAAAUGAAAAAAAAAUUAAUUAAGUCAUCGUAUGCAAUUUGUACCUAAUUAAGUCCCUAUCAUUAAUUAAAAUAAUCAAUUAAGCCACAUAAAAUAAAUUGAUCAGAUAGAGAUAGUAAUAACUUCUAUAGUAAUCUAUUAUUUUUCCUAUAAAAAUAUUUAAAAAUUAGAAAAAUAUUAUAAAAAAAUAUAAAUACUAUUAAAUAUUAAAAAAAAUAAGAAAAUUGGUAUAAACUUAAAAAAUUAUAAAAUUAAUAAAACAUAUUUAAAAUAUUUAAAAUUUUAUAAAAACAUUAAAUUUAAAACUCUAUAAAAAUAAUAAAAAUUAUAAAAAAAUAUUAGAAGUAUUAAAUUUGAUAUAAACUUAUAAAAAAUGAUAAAAAAAUAAUAAAACUUGAUUUGGGUCGGAUUAGUCGGUUGGACCGGCUAGAUCAAAAUUGGCAAGAUAUCGAUCCAGAGAAAGCCAUUAGACCGAUUGAUAUUGGAACUGGAUGGUUGAACCGAUUCUUUAUCCUUUUAAUAUAUAUAUUUUAUUUCUUAAUGUUUUAUUUAAUUGAACUGGACGGAUCAGUCGAAAUGGUAAAUCAAUGGCUUAAUUUAAUUUUUUAGAAAAAUUAUUAGAUUAAACCAUAAGCUACAAUGUCUCAUCAACUAAUUGGCUUGUCAAUUUAUUUUAACCGUCAAUGUGAUCAAUCUCGAACACCGUUAAUUAUUUUAAUUAAUGCCAAGAACUUAAUUAGUUGCGAAUUUAAUAUAAAAAUAGGCUUUUUGACAUAUAAAUCUAUUGAAAAUAAGAUUAUUAUUAUUAUUUUUAUCUCCCAAUAAUUACAUGGAAUAUUUGAAAUUCAAGCACUCCCUAGAUGACUCAGCUUGGAGACUAGCAAAACCAAUAAUCAACAUAAAACUAGUCGGAUUUAAGGCACUCUUCGCACGAAGAUGGACAAAUUGUAGAUGAUUAAGAAAUUACCUUAAAUUUAUACCAUUUAAACAUGUCAUCUUAUUUCUCGAAUCAUCCUAAGACUUACAAAGUCUCCUAUAACUUAAGCAUAAGUCACAUAAUACUUAUAAUUUAGUCCCUAUUAAUCGAUUUCAAGCAUAUACCACUUCUGUAUCUUAGCCGCAUAACAUUUAUAUUUUAGUUUCUAUUUGUAAUGGCCCAAAUUUGCUGCCCAAAUAAACCAAAAAAAAAAACAUAAAUUAAACAAAAUUAUAACAGUCCCUUAAAUACUUUAGUCCAAUUACAAAAAACCAGUAGCCCCAUAGCCCAAAUAUAAGGGCCCACUAACUGGAACAGACCCAAACAGCCUUAAAUCGAUGCUCAGCUUUGGCAAACCCUAGGACAAAAGGGGUCCUCGAGUCGCAGCAACCUCAGCAGCCUCCAGGCACCGUACACUCCUCCUGGCGCCACGCACGCUCCCGUACAUACGCCAGCACCACCCCGUACGCCCCGCACCAAUUUGCCAGCGCAUGUCCUCUGCUCCGUACCUGCGAACAAGACAAACACAGCAACAAACAGAGACAAAAGAGAAAAUAUUAUUUUUCUUUUAUUUGUUUUUCUUUCGUUUCGGAUAUAAAGCCAGAAAAUGUUCAUUGUAAUGAAAAAAGGGGCGCAUUUACGCAACAAAAAUAUACAAACAGAUACUAUAAAGAGAGAUUUUUUUUACGAACACAAGCAAUACGAAUACUUACAAAAAAAAGCAGAGGUGAUUUCUUUUCUUCCUCGAAUCCUCUUAGUUUUCCAUAUAUCAUUGCGUUUUUGGUUUAGGGGUCAUUCACCAUUAUCGUUUUGAAAAUAAAGAGAUGAACAAAGGAACGGUGAAAGAGGAGCUUACCUUGCGAAGCUAGCCGUCGUCCCCCCUUUUACUUCGUCGAAAUCGAAGUCUGAAUGAGGGUUUCAAAGGCGAAAACCCCUCUUUUAGGGCUCGGAUGCGCAGACCGUCGCUCGUACUGACGAAUUAGUGCUAAAAGGAGCAUUUGGAGGUCGAUUGAGCAACGAGAGAGGGGAAGGGGCUAGGGUUCGGCUGAAUAACUCAGUCUUCAGCCCUUUUAAAGGGUUAAAAGCGAUGCCGUUUCAAGCCCAUUACAAUGGCUCAAAAACGACGUCGUCGGAUGGAGCCUCGAUCUGAUCCGUUUAGCUGCCCCGACGACCCGCGCGUUUUCGCGAAGAGGGUUUAUUUACAGCAUCGGUCCCUCCCUGUUGCACCAUGUUUCAUUUGGCUCUUAUUUAUUUUUUUAUUUUUAUUAAUUUAGCUAUGUAAUUUAUACACGUUUGCAAAUGGACCGGCGCUUGAAUACAGCCUUUUAGGAUCUGGUAUAUUGUCAGUUUUAGUCCCUAGCUGUUUCCGCGCAUGGACUAUUGGUCCCUCCACUGUUUUUGUUUAGUUUCAAUUUUACCUUGUGUGUUUUAGUUUAAUUUUAAUUAGGUCUUUUAUUUUAUAACUUUAUAAUUUCUUUUAUUUACUUACUAGUAUAUUUUCAAGCAGCUAUGACAGUCUUUUUAGUGUUAUAAAUUUGUUUUUUUUGUAAGAUUAUUAUCAUACUUCGUAUAUCUUGAAUGUUUAUUUCUUUAGUGUUAUUAGGCAUAUAUAUGUUUUACAAAAAAUCCUAAUGCUUCAUACAUCCAAUGUUUUAUUCUAAUUAUGUAUUUUAGCAUAUACUUUGUCACGAUAAUACAUUUUGUUUAUACACACAUGUUUUCCAUAAAAUUAUCUUUCCAUUUGCCUAUAUUAGUACAUAUAUUCGGCAUAUAUAUAUUUCAUUAAAUCUACACAUUAUCGUUCUUUAGGAAUUUACAUGUGUUCUCUUUGAAAUUUGUAUAUACAUAUACGCAUUAAUACCCUUUUUUUUAUUUUAAUAGAUUUUAUUUUAAAACACCUUUCGCUUUGUAAUUUACCAAACAUUUUCUAUAUAUAUAUGAAAUAAUGUUAAGAGCUUUUAAUUAUAAAAUUAUUAUUGUUAUCCAUGUUUUUAUUUCUUUAUAUUAUAUUGCUUUUGUGUUUUAUAUAGCCUAUUAUUUAAAUAUUUUGAUAUGAGGAUAGGUAUGUUUUUUUUAAAAACCAAUUUAAAAUUAUAUAUAUGUACUAAUUUUAAUCUCAUUCUUUUAUAAGUUUAUAUGUACAUUUUUUUUAUAUAAAUCUAUUUUGGGCCUCAUGUCUUUGUCAUAUUUUUUUUUUGUAUCAUAUAUUUUUUUGUCCUAUCAUAUAUUUUGUUAACUUUUAAAUAAAUUCAUGUUUAAAACAUGUUACAUGUAAUUUGAUUCAAAUUUUUAUUCUAUAAUAUUUGUUCCAAAAAAAUCAUAUAGCUAUCUAUAGCUUUCAUGCAAAUAUGUCGACUUAUGUAUGGGCCCAUUUAUUCGUUAUUAUUUAAAAAUCAUUUUAUAGUGCAUUGGUUGCUAAUUGCUAUAUUAUUUUUCAUAUCUUGUAUCGGUUAAUCUAUAUCAUAUGUUGUUUAUUAUUGUGGCAUACUAUCGUAUGUUUUGUUUCGCUUGAAUGGUUGUUAUAUUAUCAUCUUUGUCAUUGUAUUAUUAUCCUCCAUGCGCUAUUGUAAUCAGGUUGCGUUUUUUUAGGAUUAGCUAUACCUUUUUUAUUUUUAAUCGAUUGUAUCUCAUAUGCACGUUUACCCCAUCCACCGAUUUUAUUUGAUUUUCGAAAUGUGGUUUUAUAAAAUCUAAAUUUUAUGAUUAAUUUCGUCCUAUUUCAAAUCGAAUUAAUAGGUCUUAAGCUAGCUUUAUAAUCAUUCAUUCAAAAGUUCUUCAAAACGAAGACGAGAUUCGAUGUUUGGCAAUUCGCGGAAUCGUGCCCUAACGUGUUGGGUUGCAAUUUCGCGUUUGCUCAAAAUAAUCGAAUAUCACUUCGAAAUUUCACUCGCGUCUUUUAAAAUUCUUCAAAACGAAGACGAGAUUUGAUACUUAGCAAUUCGCGGAAUCGUGCCCUAACGUGUUGGGUUGCAAUUUUGCGUUUGUCCAAAGUAAUCGAGCAUCCCUUCAAAAUUUCAUUCAUGUCUUCUAAAAAUUAUUUAAAACGAAAGCUAUAUUCGGCGUUUGACAAUUCGAGAAUCAUGCCCUAUCGUGCUGGGCUGUGAUUUCUCGUUUGUUCAAAACGAUCGAAUAUUCUUUUGUAUUAUCACUCAUGUUUUUAAAAAAUAAAAAAUAAAAAAUAUAAAUACUUAAAAACGACGAUGAUAUUCAAUGUUUGGCGAUUUGAGAACCGUGCCCUAUCGUGCUGGGUUGCGCUUUUUCAUUGGUCCGAAACAAUUGAAAAUCCCUUCGGAAUUUCCCUCACAUUUUCUAAAAUCUUUCAAAAUGAAGGCGAUGUUCGAUGUUUGGCGAUUUGAGAAUCGAGCCCUAUCGUGUUGGGUUGCGCUUUUUCAUUUGCCCAAAAUAAUCGAAUAUCUCCUCGGAAUUUUCACACAUAUUUUAUAAAGUAAGGCAAUGAUCAAUAUUUGGAAAUUCGAGGAAUCGUACCCUACUGUGCUGGGUUUCGAUUUUUUGUUGGACUAAAUAAUUGAGCUUCCUUCGGUAAUUCUCAAAUUACAUACUUUCGGACAUCGAAACAAGAAAUUUUGACAACUAACUCGGAUUACUCAAACGUUAUAAAAGGAACCACAUUUCAAAAACUUUUAAUUUAGACACAAGGACAGUAUUUAAUCGAUUUGGUACCAAUUUUGGGCGUAGUGAGGGUGCUAACCCUUCCUCAUACGUAACCGACUCCCGAGCCCAUUUUCUCACACUUUCGUAGACCAUAAUCGGUGUUUUAGUAAACCGAAAAUGUUUUAUUAAAAUAACCAAAUUCUUAGGUGACCCGAUCACACCAAAAUAAAAGGAUCGGUGGCGACUCCAUAUUUCUAUUUCCCAAAUAGUCGAUUUCCUCAUUUUUUAAAAAAUUUUUAAAAUAUUUGAAUAAAAAGGGUGGUUUCGACACUAUUAAUAGAUUUUAGAUUCAACGGUGAAUACGCAGAUUAGUAUAUUAAAUUACCUAAUAACCCAACAAAGAAUUAGAGUUAGUGAUGUGUCCUAAUACUCAUUACACCGAAAUGCCAAAAUAGUUCUCAUUCUUAACAUCAUUAAACAUAAAUUUACAUAUCUUUAACCCCUUUCGUAAUAUUUUCAUGAUCAUAAUCCACAUCACAAAUAUAUACACAUAUGAAUAUCAUCACAACCAUUGCCAUCAAAGUCAAUUAAGCUAUCAUGCCUUUUAUGACAACAUUCAUUAAUAUUAAUUCAUUAAACUUAGCUGCUUAAUGAGUUAAUAACACAAGAUUACAAACCAAAUUCAUUUUUCAUCCUUGGAUUCUUGACGUCCUGGUCUUGUUUCUUAACUUUGUUCAAAUAAUUCAAUUAUUAGUACGAGCUAGUGGCCUAUUCAAAUACAUCAAACUAUUCAAUUAAACAUAUGUAAUUUUUCAACUUAGUCUUUUUAUACCCUAAUGUCCGAUUUUCGUAUAUCUCAAAAUUUUCCCGCUCGAAUCAAUUCGACUUUAUAACUAUACUCUAAGGCCUCAAACUAUCUAUAAAACACCAUUUUUGUUCAAAGUUCUCAACAAUCUCAUUCAAGCUCCCAAGAACUCAUCAAUGACUAUAUUAUCUAUGUUUAAUCAAGUCUUGUUUCUACACAUCCCACUUCAUUUCUAGCAUGUUUUCCACCAAAGUUCAAGCUUAACACUAGAUAUUCAUGGAUUCAAGCUUUCAUUCUCUAAGUUCUCUAAUGCUUAGGCUAUGUUCAUCAACUAUCAUAUAUAAACUAAGAUUUUAACAAAUUCAAGUGAAAAGUUCACCUUCCUUAGUAAUUUGAUGGACGACAAUGGAAGAGUAACCUAAAGAAUUUCUUUCUUUCUUUUGCUUCUCUCACCAAUUCAACACAUAUAUAUAUAUACAUAAUUAAUCUAAUUCCUCAUUAAUCUAAUGGCUAGAAUUGAGCUUAAACAAUGGUCAAUAGAAAUGAAUGGCAAGGAUCAACCAAGCCACUAACUAAGAAUAAAUCUUGGUUUAACAGCACUAGAGGUGUACAUGGGCCGGGCCGGGGUGGGUUUAGGUCGGGCUCAAUUAAAAAUUUAGACUCAUUUGAUAGGUUUGGGCCCGGCCCGGCCCAGAAAAUGGGCCUAAAAAUUUGCCUAAGCCCUACUUGAAUAAAAAUGUUAAAACCCGGGCCUGACCCAGCCUGUCCAUAGUAAUUUUUAUAUUAUUUUUUAUAUAAUUUAAAAAAUAUAUAAUACAUCAAAAAUACUAAAAACAUGAAAAUAAAUAUUUCCCAACAAAUUGAAAAUAAAUUUUAAAAAAAUAUGUAUACUUAAAUAACACUAAGAUAGAUGCAACUUAAUAAGCAAAUGCCUCUAAAAUAAUAACAAAAUUAACAAAUAUCUUUAAAAUAAUAGCAAAAUUAACAAUAAGAUAAGUUUUAUACAAUAUCCAAACAAUAACAACAAAAUAGUAGCAACAUAAUAGUAAAAUGGUAGCAAAAUAGGGAGAAAACAUUAAGAAAUAAUAAUUAAAAAAAAUAUUUUUUGUCCUUUAGUGAAUUCGGGUAGGGUCAGGCCAAAAAUGCCUUACCUGAGGCCCGACCCAUUUUUUAAACAGGCCUUAUUUUUUUAUCCAAGCCCAUUUUUCGAGCCUAUAUUUUUGCUCAAACCCUCUCACAUUUCAGACUGGUCUUCGAGCUUGGCUGAGUGGCCCGACCCAUGAACAAGUCUAAACAGUACUUAGGUUCUUGGCAUAAUUACCACUGGCAAAUUUGUUUAAUUCUUAAAUCAAUUCUCUUUAUUUUAUUCACCUUACAAUUUAGUCUUUGAUCAAUAAUUACUAUUCUUUCAAUCUAGUCCUUGUACUUAAUAAUUUAUCUAAUUUAAUCACUUAAUAAUUCUAAUUUCUAAUUUCAUGUUCAUCUUGUAAAUGUCUCGAUUUAAUAUUUUUGGACUAGUUCGGCUUCGAGAAUUUAGCCUCGAAAUCAAAUUUUUUGACCCUAAUGAAAAUCAGAAUGUUAUAUGCAAAAUGCUCGACAUCCUGCAAGGUCUCCAUAAUAGAUUUCUUCAUAUUUGUGUCAUUGUUGCUCAUGUCUGAUCCACCUCUAGUAUUCACUUCAACCGUAACAAUGGUCAUAUUUGUUGCCAUGAGUGAUGUGGAAAUUUUUUUUAAAAUGUCAUUAAGUAAUUUGAAAUAGACCAUGAAUAAUGUGGUGGAAAGAGUUAAUAAAAUAAUUUCUCCACAUUUUGGGUGAUCAAUAUUUAAUUUAUUAUAAAAUUUCUCGUAGAUGAUGUCACAAAUGAAUUUGUUAUGUAUGCGUAAACUCUUGAAAAAAAAAACUAAUUAUAUUUUUUUCAAAUUAUAUUUUUUUGUCAUAAUUUAAGCUUUCAUAUAAGGUUAGUUUCACAUUAAUACAAUUUCUAUUUUUAAAAAUUACAAUAGUUUAUCUAUAUCUAUAAUAAAAGAAUAAAUAAAAAGGUUAAAAAAAAAAGCACUAAAGUAUUUUUCAUAGAAGCAACUACUUUCCUAAAGAAAAGGUUAGCCAUCCAUAUAGUGAAUAUUCAAAUCCUUGUGAUAACAGAAAAGAAUGAUUCAACAUUGUAAAACUAAAAAUGGUUAGUGCUAAAAGGAAGGAAAUAAAUGAAUGGAUGAGCUUAUUAUAAGGGAUUAAGAUGGAAGAAUGGAAGAGGGGAUUGUGUGGUAUAAAAGGAGAGGUAUGCAUGCAAUUCAAAAUCAACUCAAGCUAAUCAUCUCCCUCUUCCUCUAGAGGGGAUAAACAGUAUAAUAAAUUAUAUUGGAGGCGUGGUCGGCAAAAAAAAGGGUUAAGAGAUGGCUCGAUUAACAUUAGUAUCGAUGCUAUUUCUUUGGGCAGGAUCAAUGCUUAUGGUCCAGGGCGGAGAUCCCACCCUUUUUUUCGAAUGGAACGUCACCUAUGGCACCAUUGCUCCCUUGGGAGUGCCAGUAAAGGGUAUUCUUAUUAACGGGCAAUUCCCGGGACCAAAUAUUAACUCUACCACCAACAACAAUAUUGUGGUCAAUGUGUUCAAUAACCUUGAUGAGCCAUUCCUUGUAACAUGGUAAGCGACUACCAAGAGUAUUUUCUUUUUUACAUUAAUAUGAUUAUGCUAGUGAAGAGUUGAGCUAAUUAUUUGUGGAAAUGGGAUUUGUUGCAGGAACGGCGUGCAGCAUAGGAAGAACUCUUGGCAAGAUGGUGUUCUGGGAACCAACUGUCCUAUCCCCCCUGGGAAGAAUUACACCUAUAAAUUCCAGGUGAAGGAUCAGAUUGGCAGCUACAUCUACUAUCCGGUGACGGCUAUGCAUAAGGCGGUUGGUGGUUUCGGUGGCCUCCGUGUUAAUAGCCGUCUACUCAUCCCUGUUCCCUACGCUGAUCCGGCUGAUGACUAUACUCUCUUAGUGGGAGACUUUUUCAACAAGGGACACACCAGCCUCAAGAAGAUUCUUGAUAGUGGUCGCAACCUUGGGAGAUGUGACGGUGUUCACCUUAAUGGGAAAGUUGCAAAAGGUGAUAGGAAGGAUGAACCUCUGUUUACGAUGGAGGCAGGCAAAACGUACAAGUACAGGAUUUGCAAUACGGGUAUCAAGACAUCUCUGAACGUCAGGUUCCAAGGCCACACCAUGAAAUUGGUUGAGAUGGAGGGUUCCCACACAAUGCAGAAUGACUAUGACUCCCUUGAUGUGCAUGUUGGACAGUGCUUCAGUGUGCUUGUUACUGCCAACCAGGAACCAAGGGAUUACUAUGUGGUGGCCUCUACCCGUUUUACCAGACGUGAGGUUACAGCAACUGGCAUCAUCCGUUACAAGAAUGGUAAGGGAGCUGCCUCAUCCGAGUUGCCACCACCACCUGUUGGUUGGGCUUGGUCACUCAAUCAAUUCCGUACCUUCCGUUGGAACUUGACUUCUAACGCUGCUAGGCCUAACCCUCAGGGCUCCUACAAAUAUGGUUCCAUUAACAUUACCCGCACCAUCAAGCUUGCCAACACUGCACAAAAAGUAGAUGGCAAGCUCCGAUAUGCUCUUAAUGGAGUCUCCUAUGUCGAACCAACCACUCCACUAAAACUUGCAGAAUACUACGGCGUAGCCGACAAGGUUUUCAAGUAUGAUACCAUUCCCGAUGAGCCACAAAGUGACAACACUAAGGUAACUUUGGCACCUAUUGUGCUGAACAUGACACACAGAAACUUUGUGGAAAUAAUCUUCGAGAAUCACGAGAGCGCCAUUCAGUCUUACCACUUGUCUGGCUACUCAUUCUUUGCUGUGGGGUAAGUAUAGCUUCUAACAUAACAAAUACAUGUGGUGAUUUGCUUGAGUUGGAAGUAAUAAGUUGUAUAAUGAUUUGUUGCAGCAUGGACGUUGGGAAAUGGAGCCCCGAGAAGAGGAUGAACUACAAUCUUCUUGACGCCGUGAGCAGACACACCAUACAGGUAUUCCCCAACUCCUGGUCAGCAAUCCUAUUGACAUUCGACAACUGCGGGAUGUGGAACCUGAGGUCGGAGAUAUGGGACAGGCAUUACCUUGGGCAACAGCUUUAUGCUAGUGUUAUUUCCCCUAACCGAUCCCUCAAGGAUGAGUACAACUUGCCGGAAGGUGUAUUGACUUGCGGCAUCGUGCAAGGCAUGCCAAGGCCUCCACCUUUCAGCAGUUAAUUUAAUUAAGCUUAUAAAUCUGUAUCCAAUUAUGGUAUAUGAGGAGAGAGAGGGUGAGAAAAGCUUGAGUUCCAAAUGUAUUUAAUGAAAUAAAAUGUUUUGGACCAUAUGUUUAUACUCAAAUCAUGCGCAAGCUUUCAACAAUUUCAUUGCUGCCAUGUUUUAAUUCUAGUUACUUUGUUCAUUAUUAAAAUCAUAUAAUACCUUAAUAAGAAAAACCAUCACAAAAUAGUAUGCAUCACGAAAAUAAUUAAUGAAUAGACCAACAUUCUGUUAUCUUCUUCCCUUUUCUAUUUUCUGCUUUCUGUUUCGGUUCAUAACAGAACCAGGAGACUAAACAUCCCUCAGUCCACUCCUGCAAGGUAAGAUUCUCCCAAGAAAUUUACUACUGCCAAAGAAAGAGCAAACAAUUUUGUCAACUGUCUGCACCAACAGAUAUUUGCUUGUUGGUAUUUUGGAUGAGAGAUGAGUGAAGUUAGCAGUUUCUUGAGCUAGAAGGCUCGAUACUUGCUAAACAAACAAAACAGAAUUGAGCUUGAAGAACAAGAAUAAAUGCAAAGAAAGAGAGAACUGAAUGAAUAAUUCUGAUGAUUUUUCAUUAACCUUGAAAGAUGGCAUAAUGCCAAUACAUAUACCAGGCAUAAGCUAGUCAAAGGUAAGCAAAUUUUCACCUAAACAUUACCUACUACCACUUAGUAACUUUGAAACUUAUAAAACAUAACUUGUACACUUUGUAAAGCUGAUUUAUCAGCUCAAAUGUCAACAAAAUUACAUUCAGUACAUUAACAACUUAGUUCUAAUUUAACUAAGUUACAAAACAUCAAUUGAGGUAACAAAACAAAAUGGAAUUGAACAGCAGCAUCAACUUCAACUGCAACUGCAUGGCUCGGGCUGCUUCUCUGCAACUUGGCUGCAUGCAGGCCAACUUCAACAGCUCUGUACAAAGAAGCACUUCAUUGAGUAGAAUGACUUGCUACAAUUUGUUGCUUUUGUAAAACCAUAUGCCGAGGAAGGCGUUUAUGGGUUUUAUGUCAAUAUUCUCGAGUCUGUCAAUAAGUCUUGGAGCAAGCUCUUCCACAAAGAUUAUGUUCGAGGAAGAUAGUAUAAUUUUGGCCCUACACAAAUUAGGGAGCUAUUGCUUCACUCAUGCUUGAUAGAUGUCAAGCUAGAUGAAUUUUAUGAUACAAUGGUCAAAACCAUCACCAAUGGAGUUCAUCUUACCUUGCCCCUAAGCAACUGAGCCACAAGCUUCUACUCUAGAGCCCACUUAUGCUGGCCUGUUUGCUAUUGCAACCAGAAACUGGAUUCCUAAUAGCCAAACGAAUACAGUUACAAAGAAGAUGGUUACUCUGCUUAGGAAGAUUUGUGAUGUGAUUCAAUUUUCACUUGGGAGAGCUUAUUUUUCAGGAAAUCAUCAAACAUACUAAUUUUGUUUACCCCAUGUUAUAUCUUUCUUUCCUUUCACUUAUUUUUCAGAUACUUUAUAAUCAAAAUCCUGAAAUUGUAUUGGCUACUGAAAAAUAUGAAAGGAAGCCUAUAGAGUUGAAGUAUUCAUACAAGUGGCUUGAAGGGAAACACCAGGUUGCACUCCCUGAAGCUGUUCCUGAUGUUGUGGCUCAGCCUGUUGGAGUUGGCACAAAGGAAGACAUUUCAUCUCAGCUCUCAGCCUUUGAACAAAAGAUCCUCCAACAUCUUGAUGCUGAGAUUGCCUCCCAAGAAAAGGUCAUUUAACAACUUCAAGCCAAUGUUCGAAGAGUCAAAGCAUUGUGGAAUGAUCUCCUGGCCAAGCUGCUUCAGUUGGGUUUGGAAAAUCUCUUGAACUAAAAGGGGGAGUGGUAUAAAGGACUUGGCACUACAGGUGACACUACUGCAAUUAGUAUCAUGUUUUUUCUUUUCUUAGUAUGAUGAUUUUUCUGUGCCACAAUCACCAUAAACUUAGGGCAUGAGGGGAUGAAAUAAUUUACCACCAUAAUAUUGGGGUUCCAAUUCUCAUCAAAGAAUUUGCAACCCUCAGUUUCAGAAGCUAUUUGCCAAAUGAAAUUUGUUUUAUUUUAAUGUUUUUGGGUUAUAAUUUUGAAGACUCUUAACUUGAAUUAUGUUUAUUUUAAUUGAUAUUUUGUGAACCUUUAUCCUAUCUAUGAUAUAAAUUCCAGUACUUUGGUUAUAAAGGCUAUUCUCACUACUUAUGCAUUAAUGAUUAUUUUGUUAGUAUUAAUUGAAGUAUGAUGGAUUAAGGGUGACCUAAAAUGAAAAAUUUUCAUUUAGGUCCUUUUUUAAAUUAAUAAAAGUAAAAUUACAUGUUGACCCCCUUAAAGAUGAUGAAAAUUUGAUUUAAUCCUAUAAAAAAUAUAAAGAUAUUAAUUAUUAAAAUUAUAAAAUUACACUUUUAAUAUCGUAAAAAAUUACAAUUUAAUUUUAACCCCUAAAUCCUUGAUUAUUUAGGGAGAGCAUUUGUUAUAGUGAAAUUACUAAUACCAAACAAAUUUUCUAUUUAAUGUUGAUUUUUGUAUGAUUAAUAUUUAACCAUCAUAAUUUCAAUUCUGAUUAAAAUUUAAAUAUUUAACUAUAUUUUUUUAAUGUAAAAACUUUGAACCAUUAUAUAUAUAUUGGAUUGAAAUAGUAGAGAUUUUCGAUUAAUUCGAAAAUUUACUUGUAUGACAAAUAAAAUAAUAGAUUCAACAAUUAAAAACAUUAAUUAACUUUUAUUUGUUAAUAAUUCGUUAAUUUAUGUAAGUUUUUACAUAUUUAUCUAUUUGGAUUGUGAUUGUAUUAUUUUUUCCAUUAUAUCGUAUUAUUGAUAUUAUUUACGAAAAAACUAUAUUUUAAAAAAAUAAAAUAAAUUUCACACACACUGUAAAUAGAAAAAAAUGAAAGAAUUUAUUAUUGAAUGAAGUAAUAUAUUCUGAUAUUACAUCAAGAAAAUUAAUUUAUUGGAAAAGUCAGCAUUAGUCACUACAAAGGCCGUUUUAUGUGUAUUUGAAGCAGAACUGGUUCCAGGUUUAUAUAAGCUUUAAAUUAGGUGUAAGCUGGUGGUGGCCUUGGCAUGUUUUCCACAACACCGCAAACUAGUGCACCCUCAGGCAUGUUGUAUUCGUCCCUGAGUGAUUUGUUAGGGGAAAGAACACUAACAUAAAGCUGUUGCCCAAGGUAACGCCUGUCCCAUAUCUCUGACCUGAUGUUCCACAUUCCACAGUUGUCGAAUGACAAUAGGAUAGCUGCCCAGGACUUGGGGAAAACCUGUAUGGUGUGUCUGCUCACGGCAUCAAGAAGAUUGUAGUUCUUCCUCUUCUCAGGGCUCCAUUGCCCAGUCUCGACACUGCAACAAAUGAUUAUAGAAUUUAGUUAAACGGAAAGUAAUGACUAUAUACUAGAAGAAUUUAAAGACCAAAUACUUACGCCACAGCAAAGAAGGCAUAGCCACACAAGUGAUAAGACUGGAUGGCUGUUUCGCGAUUCUCGAAGACGAUUUCCAUAAAGUUUCUGUGUGUCAGGUUGAGGACAACAGGUUCCAUGGUUAUUUUAGUGAUCUCAGCUGGUGGGUCAUCAGGAAUGGUAUCGUACUUGAAAACCUUGUCAGCUACGCCGUAGUAUUCUGCAAGUUUUAGUGGAGUGGUUGGUUCGACAUAGGAGGCUCCAUUAAUAGCAUAUCGAAGCUUGCCAUCUACUUUUUGAGCAGUGUUGGCCAGCUUGAUGGUACGGGUAAUGUUAACGGAACCAUAUUUGUAGGAGCCCUGAGGGUUAGGCCUAGCAGCGCUGGCAGUCAAGUUCCAACGGAAGGUACGGAAUUGAUUGAGUGACCAAGCCCAACCAACUGGUGGUGGUGGCAACUUAGGUGAGGGUGCGCCCUUGCCAUUGGUGUAACGGAUGACACCAGUUGCUGUAACCUCUUGUUUGGUAAAACGGGUAGAGGCCACAACAAAGUAAUCCUUUGGUUCUUGGUCGGCUGUAACAAGCACACUGAAGCACUGUCCAACAUGAACAUCAAGGGAUUCAUAGUCAUUUUGCACUGUGUGGGAACCCUCCAUCUCAACCAAUUUCAUGUUGUGGCCUUGGAACCUGACGUUCAGAGAUGUCUUGAGACCCGCAUUGCAAAUCCUAUACUUGUAGGUUUUGCCUGCUUCCAUGGUGAAGAGAGGUUCAUCGCUACCAUCACCUUUAGCAACUUUUCCAUUAAUGUGGACACCAUCACAUCUACCAAGGUUACGGCCGCUCUCAAGAAUUUUCUUGAGGGUGGUGUGUCCCUUGUUGAAAAAAUCUCCUGCUAUGAUAGUAUAGUCAUCAGCUGGAUCAGCAUAGGGGACAGGAAUGAGUAAACGACUGUUAAUACGAAGGCCACCGAAACCGCCAACCGCCUUAUGCAUACCCGUCACUGGAUAAUACAUGUAGCUGCCAAUUUGGUCCUUCACCUGGAAUUUAUAGGUGUAAUUCGUCCCGGGGGGGAUAGGACAGUUGGUUCCAAGCACACCAUCUUGCCAAGGAUUCUUCCUAUGCUGUACGCCACUCCUGCAACAGAUUUCAUUUCCAUAUAUAUAUAUAUAUGUAAUUAAGCUCAACUCUUUACUAAUAUAAUCAAAUGGGAAAAAAAGUAAUCUGGUUUACCAUGUCAAAAGGAAUGGCUCAUCAAGGUUGUUGAACACAUUGACUAUAACAUUGUUGUUGGUGGUAGAGUUAAUAUUUGGCCCAGGGAAUUGCCCGUUAAUAAGAAUACCUUUAACGGGAACACCUAAAGGAGAUAUAGUGCCAUAAGUGACCUUCCACUCGAAACUAAUGGUGGGAUCUCCACCUUGAACCAUAAGCAGUGAUCCUACCCAGAGGAAAAACACCGCUAUUAUCGUCAAUGGAGCCAUUUUAUUGGCUUCAAAUUCUCUUAUAUAAUUUUAUAAAUUAAGACUGUUUAUCCCCUCUUAGAGGAAGAAGAUUUGUUUGAGAUGAUUUGAGUUGCAUGUUGGCUUACCCUUUUAUACAACACAACUCCUUCUAAUACAAUCAUUCUUCAUCAUUCAAUUUUUCUCUUGAAAUCCUUAAAUUGAGCACAUCCAUUUGUUUCUUUACUUUAUUUUAGUACAUACUAUUUUUAACAUUAAGCGAUUUGAUUUUACCAUAAUUCUCUUUUGUUCUAAUAUAAUAUUUGCACAUUCAUUGUGUGGAUGGCUAAUAUUUCAUGACUAAUACAUCUUUAUCAAAUAAGUUUCAAAAUACUUAAUCCUUACCAUAACCAUUUAUUUAAUUACAUGGACGAUAUAAACGUGAACAAAACACAAAUAAAAAUUUAACAUGAAACCAAACCAGCAUUAGAAAAAAAUCAUAUAUAAGCAGUAUUCUAAAUUUAUAAAUAUAUAUUAUUUUUAUAUAUUCACAUGAUAGCUCAAUUUUUUUUCUAUAUUUUUAAAAUUAAAAUUUUAGUUUUAUAUAGAUUUUUAUAUACAUUAAUUUAUAAAUGUACAUAUCACUAUUAUUUUUAUAUAUUCACAUCAUGCUCAAAUUCUUUUUCCUAUAUUUUUAAAUGUGAAAUUUUGGUUUUCUAUUCUUUUAUAUGUUGGGCACACGAGAAACUUGGGUUUGUGCUCAGUGUUUUGGGUUGAAGCUUGGAUAAAAGGGCUUAAAAUAUUGCAUAGAAUAAGGGGUUUCACAGAGUGGGAGUUGAAAACAACAAUGCUGAGCUUUUUUCUUUACUUGAUGACCAAAAUGGAGAGCCAAGUUGUGAAGCCCAUGUAAGACACAUCCAAAUUCUUUGCAAUCACAAAUUGAAACUUACAUAAAUAUAGAGGCAGAUUGUUAGGGAAAAAUGAGCUUUCUUUUUCUCUGCCAAAGUAAAUUUUAUUUCGUAUAAAUACCAAUGAUCAGGCCUUUCAGAGGCACAUUGGUUGAGAUAUCCUUUUAUAUGCUAUAAGUCUCGAUUGCUCAUUUUCCUUUUCUGUCUCAUACCUCCUCUCUCUAUCGUUGUGCCCAUCAACACACUUUGUUUCCCUACUACGAUUGCACAGCUCAUUACUACCUUCUGAACGUUCCACAACCAUAUUUGACACAGUUACCCCUAUUUUCAUUUUAUUGGACUAAUGAGCAAAAUUUAACACCCUUUAUGUUACUUGAAAUUUCAUCGUCACUUUUAUCCGAAUGCCUACUAGCCCUCCUGCACCAAUGAUCAUCACAACCUAACAGAGGUCAAACUUCACUAGAGGUAAAGCCACCAUCAUAGCCAAGGACAUUGGACUCACAUUAUCUAGAUUUGCAAUUAAUUCGUUGACGUCCUCUUCACUUGAUGAACGAAUCACUUCAACUUCUAACACUUUCAGAUCAAUAUUUCAAGCCAACCACUUUUAUUUGGAUUUGCAGAACAACACUUACCUUACUCUGUAGUCUCUGAUACUUUCACCACUUCCUCAUUCUCACCUUGGACAAUCUUCAUGUCUCUGAUCCAUCUAUUUAACUAAGUUCUUUGUGCUGGUUUCUUUGAGGACACUCUUCUAAGAGUAAUUGAUGUGCUAAGUGAAGAUAUUAGGAAUUUUUAGCUCCUACACUCUAAUAUUUUUUGCAUUAUGUCUAGUUGAGCCUUCCUUUGUAUGAAAAAAAAAACCUAGUUUAAUCUAAUAGUUGAAUCUCAAACUUAAAGAGUUGUUAUUCACUUUUCAAGCAACCACUAACAUAUUAUGGAAAUUAGAGUGACAGAAACAAGGUAGCUGAUUCAUUGUCCAAACUACAAGUUUCAGAAGAUUUUGGAAUAAAGUGCUCACUCGACCCCUCAGAGAAAUCGAUACGUUAUUGUUAUUAGACAAAUUGGGGUCAUACCAUCCCAAUGGUAUUUUGAUGUAGAACAGUAAUGCCUAUUUGAAUUUCCCUUGUAUUUGAACUCUAUAAUUUUCUUUUAUAUAAUUUAGUCAUUGAUUUAUUUGGAUAGGUAUUAAAGUAAAUUUCGAUGAUUGGAAUUAUAAUUAGUAAAAGUUCUUUGUGGGAUCGAUAUUUUAUACCAUUUGUAAUGAUACAUAUACUUGUGUGUGUGAUAUUCGAUCAAGUUCAAAGCACCUUUUGUUUAGAGUAAUGGUGUUUCACGAAUAACUAUAUUUAGAACAAUUUCUAUUUAGUAGAAUUGUGUUUAUUCACAAUAAGUUCUACCAAACAGAACAUUACCAUAGAACAACUUUUGUUUGGAACAAAUAAGAAUAACCAUUAUUUAUGAACAACUCUCGUUCGAGAACAUCCAUUGUCUUGCAUUCGAAGAGAUGUUCCGAGGUAAAUGUUUCACAAGAUGCGGCUUCACCAAAGUAGAAGAAGUGGAAAUAACCUCGAAAUAUGACAGAGUUCUUAGAUUGUCUUCACUCUUAGGAUUUUUCGGAGAACUUGGCUUGGUAAAUUAAAUACGGAGGUAGGUAGGAGGUUUCCUCUUAACAUUCUCCUAUAACAUUGAGUGUUUUUCCUUUCUUUCAAAAAUAUGGUGAACACUUCUUCAAUAUUCAUCAUUAUCAUCACCAAAAAAGUCAUUAACCAUCCCGUCUUAACAAUUAUUGCCAUUCUAAUUGAAAACUAAUUUCAUUACUCAUAUUAAAUACCUAGUAUAAAUAUGAGCCCAUCACAUCUAUUUGAGUGACUUUUUGGCACUUUGGUAUUCUAAUUCUCAAAGCUCUCUAAAAUUCUUUCUACUUUUUUUUGUUGUUUAGCCUCAUCAUCAACCACAAUUCCCUUUCUCUUGCUUAUCAAACAUCACCUGUCGCUGUAACUAAUGUUAUAAGAUCUGCUCUAGUAUUCAUCUCUGCCUUUUUUCGAUACAUUAUGUUCACUUAUUUGCAAAGCUUGCUCUGAACCCUUUACAAUGUUUUAAUUUUAUAUAUAUUUAAUAUAAAUUCUCUCAUAGGAUGUCACAAAUGGAUAUAAUGUUAUAAUCUCUCCAAAAGAAUAAAGUUAAUUAUAAAUUUCUUUUCACAUUAUUUAUUCAAUAUGAACUUUUUAUGGUGGUCUUAAUUUAAUUAUAUAUAAAAUUUCACUUAAUAUCAAGUGUCUAGCAAUAAUGAUUAUAUAAUAAUGGAGGUUAAUGUUACUUUAAUACAUUUAUUUUAAAAAUUAUCAUAUUUAUAUAUUUAAAUUAAGAAAAUAACUAUAAAAACUCUCAUCAAAGUAACCAUUACCCUAAAAAAAUGUUAGCCAUCAGCAUAGUGGAUGUGAAAAUCCUUGAUGGAAAAGAAGAGAAUGAUAAAAUCAAAUUGAUUAGUGUUAAAAACAGUAUUUGCUAAAAGCCAGGAAAUAAAUGAAUGGAUGAGCGUAUUCUAAGGGAUUAAGAUGGAAGCAUUGAUGAGGGGAUUGUGUGGUAUAAAAGGAGAGGUAUGCAUGCAAUUCAAAAUCAACUCAAGCAAAUCAUCUUCCUCUUCCUCUAGAAGGGGAUAAUUAAUAAAUUACGGUUGGCGAAAAAAAGGGUAGGAGAUGGCUCGAUUGCUGUUAAUAUCGAUGCUAUUUCUCUGGGCAGGAUCAAUCCUUAUGGUUCAGGGUGGAGAUCCUACCCUUUUUUUCGAAUGGAACGUCACCUAUGGCACCAUUGCUCCUUUGGGAGUGCCAGUAAAGGGUAUUCUUAUUAACGGACAAUUCCCAGGACCAAAUAUUAACUCUACCACCAACAACAAUAUUGUGAUCCAUGUGUUCAAUAACCUUGAUGAGCCAUUCCUUGUAACAUGGUAAGCGACUACCAAGAGUAUUUUCUUUUUUACAUUAAUAUGAUUAUGUGCUAGUGAAGAAUUUAGCUAAUUAUCUGUGGAAAUGGGAUUUGUUGCAGGAACGGCAUUCAGCAUAGGAAGAACUCUUGGCAAGAUGGUGUUCUGGGAACCAACUGUCCUAUCCCCCCUGGGAAGAAUUACACAUAUAAAUUCCAGGUGAAGGAUCAGAUUGGCAGCUACAUCUACUAUCCGGUGACGGCUAUGCAUAAGGCGGUUGGUGGUUUCGGUGGCCUCCGUGUUAACAGCCGUCUACUCAUCCCUGUUCCCUACGCUGAUCCGGCUGAUGACUAUACUCUCUUAGUGGGAGACUUUUUCAACAAGGGACACACCAGCCUCAAGAAGAUUCUUGAUAGUGGUCGCAACCUUGGGAGAUGCGACGGUGUCCACCUUAAUGGAAAAGUUGCGAAAGGUGAUGGGCAGGAUGAACCUCUGUUUACGAUGGAGGCAGGCAAAACGUACAAGUACAGGAUUUGCAAUACGGGUAUCAAGACAUCUCUGAACGUCAGGUUCCAAGGCCACACCAUGAAAUUGGUUGAGAUGGAGGGUUCCCACACAAUGCAGAAUGACUAUGACUCCCUUGAUGUGCAUGUUGGACAGUGCUUCAGUGUGCUUGUUACUUCCAACCAGGAACCAAGGGAUUACUAUGUGGUGGCCUCUACCCGUUUUACCAGACGUGAGGUUACAGCAACUGGCAUCAUCGGUUACAAGAAUGGCAAGGGAGCUGCCUCAUCCGAGUUGCCACCACCACCUGUUGGUUGGGCUUGGUCACUCAAUCAAUUCCGUACCUUCCGUUGGAACUUGACUUCUAACGCUGCUAGGCCUAACCCUCAGGGCUCCUACAAAUAUGGUUCCAUUAACAUUACCCGUACCAUCAGGCUUGCCAACACUGCACAAAGAGUAGAUGGCAAGCUCCGAUAUGCUCUUAAUGGAGUCUCCUAUGUCGAACCAACCACUCCACUAAAACUUGCAGAAUACUAUGGCGUAGCCGAAAAGGUUUUCAAGUAUGAUACCAUUCCCGAUGAGCCUCCAAGUGACAACACUAAGGUAACUUUGGCACCUAUUGUCCUCAACAUGACACACAGAAACUUUGUGGAAAUCAUCUUCGAGAAUCACGAGACCGCCAUUCAAUCCUACCACUUGUCUGGCUACUCAUUCUUUGCUGUGGGGUAAGUAUAGCUUCUAACAUAACCAAUACAUGUGGUGAUUUGCUUGAGUUGAAGUAAUAAGUUGUAUAAUGAUUUGUCGCAGCAUGGACGUUGGGAAAUGGAGCCCCGAGAAGAGGAUGAACUACAAUCUUCUUGACGCCGUGAGCAGACAGACCAUACAGGUAUUCCCCAACUCCUGGUCAGCAAUCCUAUUGACAUUCGACAACUGCGGGAUGUGGAACCUGAGGUCGGAGAUAUGGGACAGGCAUUACCUUGGGCAACAGCUUUAUGCUAGUGUUAUUUCCCCUAACCGAUCCCUCAAGGAUGAGUACAACUUACCGGAAGGUGUAUUGACUUGCGGCAUCGUGCAAGGCAUGCCAAGGCCUCCACCUUUCAGCAGUUAAUUUAAAUAAGCUUAUAAAUCUGUAUCCAAUUCUGGUAUAAAUACAUAAUAUGGGGAGAGAGAGAGGGUGAGAAAAGCUUGAGUUCCAAAUGGAUUUAAUGAAAUAAAAUGUUUUGGACCAUUUGUUUAUAUUCAAAUCAUGCGCAAGCUUUCAACAAAUUCAUUGCUGCCAUGUUUUAAUUCUAAUUUCUAUGUUCAUUAUUAAAAUCAUAUAAUGCGUUAAUAAUAAAAACCACAUCACGAAAGCAAUGAAUAAAUGAAAUAGACGAAGCUUACUAAUUUAUCAGUAGAAACCAUUCCUUGUAUAAAUAUUUCUAAAAUAUAUAUUAAUAUAAACUUAUUAAUAUUGUCUACUGUAAAUUCCUUUUAUAAAGGGGAUGAAGAAUGUUACUAAUUGAAAAAUUGAUAUUAUUUUUACCGCAAUCAACAAGUAUUUUGGUUUAUAUUUUCGUCACACAUCUUACUUGUCACGGAUUUCCUUACUUUUUAACGGAGGACAUCCAUUUUCGAAUGCAACACAAAUUUCUUUGGAACUAGUUCUUUUUCAUAGUUUAAUUUCACUUGCUUUCGAGCUUCAAAAUGAUGAACAUAAAUGCAUUUUGACUUUUAAAACUAAAUUCAUGUCGGAUAACUUGACUAUGAAUGAUUCUAGCAUUUGAUAUCCUUUUGAGCUUAUUAAGUUUAUUUUUAUUUGAAUCGAAAUGAAUCAAUCGCUAUUAAAGAUAUUGUUACCUCACUGAUUCAACUUUUGGAUUCUUUUAAGUGAGAGAAACUCACCUCACGUUCAAAUUGUUACGGCAUUCAAAGGAGCAGUGGGUGCACUGGGUAACCAGUUGAAGGGGUAAUGAUCUCUCUUUUGCACCUGCACCUUUUAGUUAUCAAUCGAGAUAACUUGCAUGCAUGCAGAAAUUAUUAGGAUAGAUAUGUUACCAAUUUUGUACAAAUAGAUCUGUAUCCAUUGAUCAUGUCUUGCUGUGGUGCACAAUGGGGACAUGCUAUUUAGAGUGAUCUGUUGGAACCUGUGGAACAGCCGAAAUCAAGAAUUCCUUGUUGCUGACUUUGUCAAAAGUAAGGGUAUAUUAGAGGUGUAACCUCCCUAAUUCGGUCUAGAAAUUAUGGCCGGAUAUCUAAAGGCUACACUGUCCAUCGAAAUGGCUAAGGAAAACCGUUCAGUUUUAAAACUUCUACUUUGACUAUCUUUUUAGAAAACUUUUGUCUUAAUUCCUCAAAAACCAUCAAAUUAUUAAGUCGACUAAAUUUAGAGUUUAGGUUAUUAAAAGUAGUUUCAUUUAAGAAAAACUAAUUUGAUUUUUGUUUCGUCGAUUUGCCUUUCAAGAUUCUCUUCCUUGUUACACAGCGGAAAUAGUGGAACCAUCAAGUUCAAUCUAAACCAUCUUUCAUGCGAUUAUUAAGCAAAUUUUACAUUCAUGUUCAGUUUUAACCAACUUGCAUGCAUGUAGAAAUUCAAACAUAAAAACCCAUGCCACGGUCCAAAAUUACAGUCCCAAAUAGAAAAAAACCAUAUUAAAACUUGGGUUAAAUUUUGAAAAAAAAUACUGCAUUAAAUAAAAAUCGAGAUGAGACCUCUGAAUGUCGUGUUCAAUCCUAACAUUGAGAGUUAUUUGUAAGAAGUAAACUAAAGAAGUGAGCUUGAAAAGCUCAAUGUGAUUCUAAACAUAUGUAAACAAUGUAUAUGCGUACAAACAAUCAAUGAACCAUACAACCAUCAUUAUAACAGAACAUAUAGUAAAUCAUGGCAUCAAAACCCUUAGUAUUCCAAUAUUUUAUAUAUGUCAUGCUCAUGUGAAGCAGUACAAAAGUCUUAUCCAUCCAUCUGCUACACACGAGUUUCUUAGUAAUCGUUAUCUGAUUCACCAAAACAGUAGGAGUUGUAGCUCAAUGUAGAUGAACCACCAGUAACAAUAUGCAAUUAAACUACCAAUAAUUUGCAGACAAGCUACCAGUAAGUUGCGCACAAGCCCAAAACCCAAACCUAAUAUGAUUUAAAAUUGAAUUAAAAGCCCGAACGUUUAGAAAUUCUGCUCGUGUAGUCUUCACUAAAACGAUCAUAAGUUAAGCUCUUGAACUCAAAAUCGAGUGAUUCAAAAUGCGUUUCGAAGCUAAGAGAUACAUCUUAAAACGCCAUGAAGACAUCUCAACCCAGAAAUGCUAGGAUCCCAUCCAAAAAGUCAUUGUAAGUAUGCUGAUUUCCCAAGCCUAAAAAUUGGUAGUUUUGAUGAUUGGAAUUUAAUAAAUUUCACCCCAUUUGUGCAUGUAUCAGUAUGGCCUCAAACUUCACUGGAAAUCUGAGGAAUUUAGGUCUGGACUUUUGACAAAAAAAUUCACGAAAUUAGCACAUGAGAAAUGUAACACCCCUAACUCAUAUCCGUCACUGGAAUAAAGUUACGAGGCAUUACCAAUCAAUACACAACAUUUCACAUAAUAACACAUACAUUUAUGCAUUCAUAGUCAAAAUCCAUUCAACACAAUCAUAUUGUCCCUUAUUAGGGCUUACAAGGCCUUAAAACAUGCUUUGAGAUACUUAUAAAAUUUUCAUGCAAUAGGGAUCACACGCCCGUGUGAACAGACCGUGUGCGUCACACUGCUACCAGACACGCUUGUGUCAUAAGCCCGUAUGCCAUAGCUGCGUGAAAACUGGAGGGUAUACUGACUUGGGUAACACGGCCAGUCACAUGCCCAUGCGCCAGCCUAUGGCACACGCCUGUGUGUUUAAGCCGUGUAACUCACUGAUUUGUUUUAACAAGUUAUAAUAGGCACAUGGUUGAGUCACACACCCCUGUGCUCAACCGUGUGGAACGAAAUUAGGCUUGGUUUAAGCCACAUUUCUCACCCUCCUCAAGCAUACCUAAACCACAUCAAUUUUCACCUUUCCAUACAUUCAAAGGCAGCCAAAGUAUGCCAUUACAUACACAUAUCAUGCUAUUUAUAACCAUCUUUUCAACUACUCAAAAUCCAUAACCAAAAACAUACCAAGACAAUAUGCCAAUACCAACCAAUUCACCUAUCUUCUCUAUACAUUUUCUCAACAUUUUAUCAUCUAUUUCAUGCCUCAAAACAUACCAUUUCAUUAUCUCAAAAUCAAGCCACAACAUGUCAUCUUCCAAGCAAUAAUACUCUAACUUACAACUAUCCAAUAGAGCAACCAUAUAACCAUACCAAACAUGCCAAAACAUAAGGCAAUAUAUACAUCACAUAUUACUUACCAAACACAUGAUUCAAGCCAACUUAAAUGGCCGUAUACACACCAACAUUAACAUUAUUUGCAAGCCAAAUCUUAUAGCUAAUAUCAAUGCUCAAAACAUAACAUCAACUCACUAGCCUAUACAUGCCAUAUACCAUAUUUACUAAGCAUCAAAAGUACCAACAAGUAGUCGGUAGUGUGAAGACGGUUCCUGAUGAUCCCUGAGUCCGAGUUAGCUUCGAUAAUCUAUAAAACAGGGAAAGAACACACAAAGUAAGGUUUAAAAGCUUAGUAAGCCAUAUACAAAUAAAUUUACAUCAUGAAUCAACAUCAUUUCCAUCAAAUAAGCAAAUUAUGAAUAAGCACAUAUAGAUACACAAACCUUCUCAUUGAAUACCUAUUCAAAUUCACAUGUAAUUCAUCAAAUACUUCUCUUUUUAAUACUCGUAUGAAUCUCGUACGUACCUGUAUCACUUAAUUCAAUCCCAUAUUCUUUUUCGUCUUGACUUUGCCCAUUAAACCUUUCGAAAUUGACAAGGAUACUCGAAAAUCACAUAUAGCUCGUACAAUGCCAUAUCCCAGAUAUGGUCUUACAUGUUAUCUCAUAUCGAUGCCAAUAGCCCAGCUAUGGUCUUACACAAAAUCACAUAACGAUGCCAAUGUCCCAGACAUGGUCUUACACAUAAUCACAAUACAAUGCCAAUGUCCCAGAGAUGGUCUUGCAUGGAAUCUCAUCUCGGUAAUCCUAAUGUCAUGACAUUUGUAUCCUAUACUAUUCCUAAGGUUUGUACGAGACUUUCGGAUAUCAUAACUCUGUCAAUUCUUGUUCGUGUUGCUCGUCCAACAUUCAUAGCAGUUAAUUGAAAAAUAAACAUAUAUAAUUUAAUUUAACGGUAUUAAUUUGUAUAUAAACUUACCUCGUAGUUGGAAUAGAGGGGCUGGAUCGACUAUUCAAUAACCUUUUAUUUUCCUCAAUCUAAAUUUGAUUUCUUUCUUUCUUGAUCUAUAUACAUUCAAAAUUAACUCAUUUAUUCAUCAAAUCAUUCAAUUUAGUCAACUAAUACAUAUUUUGACAUUUUUACACUUUAGCCCUUAAAGUUCUACAUUUUUAUAAUUUAAUCCUUAAUUCACAAAUACACAAAAUUCAUACAAUUUCAUUACACCCAAGCCUAGCCGAAUUUCAUAUAAGUCCCUAGCACCCAAAACUUUCAUUUAUUUCAUAUUUUAACCCCUCAAUUUACACUUUUCACAAUUUAAUCCCAUUUAAGCAAUUUCAUCAAAAAUCACUUUACAAAACAUUAAAAUCUAUCAAAAAAUAUUCAUUUUUCAUCAUCAAACAUUCAAAAGCUCAAGCAUUUUCAAUGGAAUUUCACAAAAUCAUCAACAAUUUCAAAAAUUAAGGGAUGGGCUAGCUAGAACAUGAAGUAACGAUCACAAAAACGUAAAAAUCAUAAAAACCGAGCUAAAACAUACCAAAUCAAGCUUGCAAGUGCCGAAUGCUUAAAACCUAGUUUGGCUUCUUUUCUUCCCUAAUUUUUGGCUAGAAAUGGUGAAGAUGAUAACAAUUUUCAUUUUUUUUUAUUAAUGUUAACAUUAAUUAACAAAUACCAAAAUUACCUUUAAUUAAAAACCAUUUAAAACACUCAUUUACUGCCCAUUUAUGUCAAAUUCCACUAAAAAUGGUUUAAUAUCAUCAUAAGGACCUUUCAUGUAAUAAAUCAUAGCAAUUAGGCACCUUUAUCAAAUAUAAUGCAACUUUUGCAUUUUACGCGAUUUAGUCUUUUUCUCAAAUUAAGCUUUUAAUCGCUAAAAUUAUUUCAUGAAACUUUCACACAUAUAUAAUCACAUGCGAUAAACACUAAAAAUAAUAUUAAAAUAAUUUUAUGACCUCGAAUUUGUGGUUCCAAAACCACUAUUUUGAUUAAGCUAAAACUAGGUUGUUCCUAAGAAAUUUGACUAUAGACCCUGUAGUAUUCGACCAUCAUAGGAAAAGAAAGGGAAAAAAGGAAAAAAAAUGAGAUCAAAUAUGAUCUAGACAACUUACACUUCCCAAUUUUCAGAUCCAAGAUAAUGAAUCAACAGAAAAUGAUUAAACACCACAAUAUACCAAGACAGGAGACUGUUUUCAGAAACAAAAUGAAGGAAAAAGAGAGGAAAUAGGUGCGAAAAUGGUAGAAAAUCAGCAGUAAAGUUCAGCCAUAACAAAGAAGUGAAGAGAUGAAUGAAAAUUAAAAGAAAAUGAGAGGAGAAGAUGAUCAAAGGGAGUGCUAUGGCCAUAAGUGGAGGAGGAAAUGAAAAAAAAGACGAUACAAAAAUGCAAAAAUUAGGGUUUUAAGGGUGACAAGACAAGGAUGAAGAAGAAAAAUUGAAGAAUGAGAGGAAGAGAGGAGGGUGAGACGGCAACGAGAAGAGAAAAAAAAUUAUCCAAAAGAGAUUGAACAGAAAAUAAAAUACUAUAAAUAAAAAUUGUACUAGGGGAAAGAAUCAAACUCAGGUUUCAAUGACAAUUUCACUAACACUUCAAUUCGUACAAAAAAAUAUCAAUAAAAUCGAGGAAUGACAAGAGACAAGCAAGAAUAAAAAAGAUGCUAGUGUUUUGUAACAACCUGGGAGCUCUAAAAAAGAACGGAAUAUUAAGUAUUGUUGCCUACAGCCUCCUGUGGAGGGUUGGAUAAAAUUAAAUAUGGAUGGGGAAGUUUGCUUAGUUGAUGAUAUGGCUACUACAGAAGGUGUUAUGCGUGACCAUACUCAAGGUUUCAUUUGUAGUCUUGCAACGUUGCUCUACUUUUGGACUUGGAGUUACAGGUGCCUUAAAGGGGCCACCAAUGGCCUUGGACAAAGGGCUAUAGAAAGGUGAUUUUAGAACUUGAUAAGUUAUUGUUAGUUAACAUGUCAAAUAGAAAGGUUGAGUGUGCUAAUAAUUCAUUGUUAUAGAAAGUGCAAACCUUGCUAGCUAGGGAUUGACAGAUCGAGGUGUAGCAUCUUUAUCAGGAAAGGAGCGAAAACGAGACUUGGUGUGCCGUUAGGGUUUAUCUGCUGGGUUUCUUACACAGGAAGAAAAACAGAACUAAGUCAUCUGGAUAAAAUAUGAACUCUUGUUGAAGCUAGAGCAACAAAGCAAUAAUUCCGGAUAAAAUAUGAAAUAAGUUUGAGAUUCAAAGAAAUUAGAGUUGCAAGGAAAGCAACCAAAAACAAACAGAAGUAAAAGGGAUGAGAUGUAACGCCCGCUUACCCAAGACCGUCGCCGGAGUCGAGCACGAGGCAUUACUAAACUUAUUUGAGCACUUAAACAAAUUCGGACAAGCUGUACAACUGCGUCAUAAUUGCUUAAAAAUUCAUAUCUCUAGUUCCGUAACUCAAAAUCAAAUUCCAUAAAUUUUUUCUUAAACUAGACUCAUAUAUCUAUCUACUAAUUUUUUUUUAGAAUUUUUGGUUAGGCCAAUUAGUACAGUUUAUUAGUUAAAGUCUCCCCUAUUUUAGGGUUUGACUGCUCUGACUUAUGUGUAUUACGAAUCAGAUAUCUCCCUGUACAGAGUUUCAAUGACUAUGCCGUUUGUUUCUAAUAAAACUAGACUCAAUAAGGAAUCUGUACAUAUAAAGCAUGACUUCUAAUUAUAUUUGUACAAUUUAUGGUGAAUUUCAAAAGUCAGAACAGGGGAUCCAGAAAUCGCUCUGGCCCUGUUUCACAAAAAUUUAAACUUCUCAUAAAAUAUAACUCAUAUACCUGUUUUGUUCCAUCCAUAUGAAAAUAGACUCAUAAUUCUUCAAUUCUAUAUUUUAUUCAUCAUCUAAUUGUAUCUCUACUAUUUUUAAUAGUUUUUCAAACUCACAUCACUGCUGCUGUCUGAAUCUAUUUUAUGGUAAAUUUUGUCUAUUUCAUGGUUUCCAUGGAUUAGCUAGCAAUUUAGCAUACAUAACACCAAAUAUGAUCAUGAUUAGCCAUUCCAAUGGCUAAUCAUUACCAAGCAUUUUCAUACCACUGAAUAUCCAUAUCAUAAGACCAUAUAUACAAAAUGAUUAUAAUGCUAUACAUGCCAUACUCAAAAUAUACAAGCCAUUAUGCCAAGAUGGUAUACGGAUAGUGUGAGUGGGCCUUCGACCAUUCCUGAUUUCUGAGCUGGCUUGUCAAAACUACAAUGAAUGAAAAUAAGGGAGUAAGCAUAAAUGCUUAGUAAGUCCAUAUGAAAUUAAUAAGCAAUUACCAACAUGCUUUUAAGAUAAAACACCACAAUUGUACAAUUAUACAUACUCAGCUUAAAUUGUUUUAUCGAGAUACAUUUACUAAAUAAUUUAUUUCUGAAGCUAUGAAACUCCAAAUUAAGUUCCGUUAAUUUUCCGUUAAUUUCUGGAGCUACUAAAGAAUUUUUGGUUUAGCCAUUUAGUACAGUUUAUUCAUUAAAGUUUCCCCUGUUUUGCUGUCCUACAGUUCUGAUCUCUCUUCACUAAAAAUUAUUUAUCUCAUAAUUCGGGACUUGGAUGAUGUUCCCGUCUAUCCCUCUUGAAAAUAGACUCGAUAAGGAUUUUAAAUAAAUAAAUUAAAACUCAUAAUUAUUUUUGUACAAUUUCUAAUGAUUUUCUAAAAUUAGAACAGGGGAUCUCGAAGUCAUUCAAACUCUGUCUCACAACAAUUUAAAUAUAUUAUAACAUAAAAUCCAAUUGCAUGCACCGUUUCCUCUAUAUGAAACUAGACUCAUCAGGCUUUAAUCUCAUAUUUUAUUCAGCCCUUAACUUAAUUUCCACAAUUUAUGGUAAAUUUCAAAAGAUACACUACUGCAGUAACCUAAAACUGUCAAGGCCAUAUUUAUUCAUUCACCACUACUAUUCACUAAAUCCAUACAAUAUCAUUUCAUCCAUCAUGGUAAGAACACAUAAUUAUGCUUCAUAAGCAUAGAUCCAUAAUCUCAAUGUCAUCAAGUACCAAGAACUUAUUCCAAAUCGUGUCAUUUUCAUAGUAUUCACCAAUUCUUAAUCUUUUCGGGACAUUUUACAUUUUCGUUCAUAAUCAAAUUAGGGAACGAUUACGGAAUUGAGUACCUCAUUAUCACAAUGCCAUAGUAAAACUAUGGUCUUACACAUAGUCACAUAUCACAUACCGAGGCCAUAGCCCAGCCAUGGUCUUACACGGAUCACAUAUCACACUGAUGCCAUAUCCCAGAUAUGGUCUUAUACAAUAGCACAUAUCACACCGAUGCCAUAUCCCGGAUAUGGUCUUAUACGGAAGCACAUAUCACAUUUCUCCGAAGCCAUAGCCCAGCUAUGGUCUUAUACGGAAAUCACAUUUCACAUGCUGCCAUGGUCCAACCAUGGUCUUUUCCGUCAAUUCGUCUUAGCCACUGAAUGAAAGUACUCAAGUCCGUUGUUCCAUUUAAUUUGUACUUUUAUUCAAAUAUCAUUUUACAAUUAUCGCAGUUUAAUGACAUUUUAUAUGCAAUAAUAUACUAUAUCAUUCAUGAAAUUUUCAUUUCAAAACAUUAAAUUACACAUUGUAUUAUUAAAAAUCAUAUGAACUUACCUCGAUAUAAAAUAUUAGCAAUCGAGCCUAUUCCUCGUAAACUUUAUUUUUCCCUCGAUCAUGACUUGAAUCUCGUUUCUCUUGAUCUAUAAUAUAAAUUAUUUCUACUCAUUAACAUUUAUUUGAUUUCUAUUUCACUUCACAAUUUAUGCUGUUCAAAUUUAAAAAUUGCAAUUUUACCCCAAAAUUUAUAGUUUUUACAAUUUAGUCCCUGCUCAAUUCACCCAUCAAUUGAACUAAAUUUUUUUCUCAAUUAACACUUUUAUUUUAUCAUUAUAAACUAAUUCAAAACCUUUGAUAUUCUGAAUUUCAACACCAACAUCUAAUUCACAACUUUUUCACAAUUAGGUCCUAAAUACCAUUUUCUAUCAAAAUGACUUAAUAAAACAACCUUAAUAUGAAAUUAGAACUUAAAUUUCAUAAUAAUUCAUCAUAUACUGCCCUUAAUCAGCCAGGGUAACUUCCAAUUUCACCCACCAAAUCAAAAACUAAUGAAUUAGAUGAUUGGACCUAAUUGUAAAAGUCACAAAAACAUAAAAAUUACUAAGAAAUAGUAAAAAUUGAACUUACAUGGUGCAAAAAUAUGAAAAACCAGCAUAGGAGACCUGCUACGGCGUUUCUGGCUGAGAAAGAUGAAGAAAUGUCUAGAUUUUUCAAUUACAUCAUUAUUUAAUUACUAACUUUUAUCCUAUUUCCAAUUUUGCCCCUUGCUCACAUUGUUUUCUUGCUUAUUUCAUACCCAAACCGUCCAGCCAUUAACCUUUGGGUCUAAUUGGUCUUUAAAUCCAUAUUUUUAAAUACUUAAGCUAUUCAAUCACAUCUCACAAUUUUGCACUUAGUUUAAUUUAGUCCUUUUCACCUAAUUAACUACCGAAAUCUUAAAAUUUCUUGACGAAACUUUAAUACUAACCUAUUUACACUCCAUAAAUAUUUUUAAAAAUAUUUAUGGCUCGAAUUAUGCAUUCAAGGUCUUGAUACCUCGUUUUAGACCCAAUUUACUUAUUAAAUUCUUUUCUCUCUUUUUUUUAACACAAAAUUCACUAAUUCAAAAUUCUUCUAAAUUCACACUUGACUCAUAAUUAUUAAUUUAUUAAAUUUUCAAACAUACUUGUCGGAUUUAGUGAUCUCAAAUCACUGUUCCGAUAUCACUGAAAUUUGGGCCGUUACAUGAGAAAACUGAGAGAACAAUAAUUGGUUAUUCUCAUUACCUUAAUUUCAUCAAAUCUAUGAUGUACAUAUAUAAAACUACAACAAUAUUUUUAACUUGUAGAAGUGAACAAACAUUAAAUACAUCCUAAUGAUAACCUAGGACCUGUCUAAAACUGGAAAGUACUUGACCAACUUUAUCCAGUCAAAAAGUUUUCUGUCAAAUCAUAUACAGGUCGUCUAUUACAAAAACAUACUUCAUCCGGAUAACAUACGUACAUUUGUAGUUGCUGUAUCUCAUCCAGAUAACAUACAGACUACUGUUUGUUGCCACAUUUAACACUCCUCAUUGGCUACAAAGCAGCAGACUCAAAUUUGCUUCUUUAAAUACUUGAACCUGGUGGCAGCUAACGACUUGGUCAAAAUAUCUGCCAAUUGGACUUCUGAGCAGCAAUGGACCAAGUUGAUCUCCUUUGACAACUCUGCCUCCCUCAAAAAAUGGUAUUUGAUCUUGAAAUGUAACGGCCCAAAUUUCAGUGAUAUCGGAACAGUGAUUUGAAAUCACUAAAUCCGACAUGUGAGCUUAGAUAUUAGUAAGUAAAUGUUAAGUGUGGUUUUAGAAUUAAUUUUGAAUUAGUGAAAUUAUGUAGUAUAGGAAGUUGUAGAUAAAACAGAAUAAAAACGAGGUAUCGAAACCUCGAAUUCAUAAACCGAGCCAUAAAUAUUUUUAGAAAUAUUUAUGGAGUGUAAAUAAGUUAGUAUUAAAGUUUCGUCAAGAAAUUUUAAGGUUUCGGUAGUUAAUUAGGUGAAAAGGACUAAAUUGAACUAAGUGUAAAAUUGUGAGAUGUGAUUAAAUAGCUCUAGUAAUAAUUAAAGGAGGACUAAAUAGGCAAUUAGACACCUAUUAUUGGGCUGGACGGCAUGUGUGUGCAGGAAAAUUAAAAAUCAAGUGUGAACAAGGGGCAAAAUUGGAAAUAGGGUAAUAAUUUAAUUGUAAAAUAUGAUAUAUUAGGUAAAAUCUAGAGUUUUCUUCAUUUUUCUUCAUUUUUCUUCAUCUUCAUCAGCUAAAAACACCAUUAGAGAGCUUUUAAGAAGCUGGUUUUUAUAUUCUACAGCAUGUAAGUUCAACUUUUGAUUAUUUCUUGUAAUUUUGUGUUUUUGAGACUUUUACAACUAGGUCCAUAUGUUUAAUUCAUUAGUUUUUGAUUAUAUGGAUAAUUUUGAAAGUUUCCAUGAACAAGUGCUGAAAUUUUAUGAUGAUUUAUCAUGGAAUUGAGGUUUUAAUUUUAUUAUAUGAUGAUUUUAUAAAGAGAUUUUUAUAGAAAUCAUUAUUUAGGACCUAAUUGUGAAAGUUCUGAAAUUAGGGUUUUGUGAUGAAACUUUGAAUGUCAAAGGCUGUGAAAUAGUUUAUAAUGUUUAAAUAAAGUGUUUUUUGAGAAUAAUUAGUUCAAUUGAUGAAUAAAUUAAGCAGGGACUAAAUUGUAAAAAUUUGAAAAGUUUGGGGUAAUAGUGUAAUUUCAAAAAUUUAAGGGCAUAAAUUAUGAAAUAGAAUAGAAUUUUAAUGGAUGCUAAUGAAGGAAUUAUUUUAUAAUUAUAGAUCAAGAAAACGAAGUGAAUCGUAGAAAGGAGAAAAUUCAAGAAUAGUUCUUGAAUUUCUAUGACUUUUGCAAAUUAGCCUAGGUAAGUUCAUAUGGCAAAAUUUAAUGUUUUGUUAUGAAGAUAUUAUGAUUUUUAAGUAUAUUAUUGUAGAUGAAUACUAUCAAUUUGUAAUAAGUAUGAAAUAAUAGUUAAAUAAAAGUACACAUUAGUUGGAACAAUGGAUUUGAGUGCUUUCAUUUUGUGACCAUGGUGAAUUGACGGAAAGAUGUGAUAAGUGCGCCCGUUUAAGACCAAAGCUGGGCUAUGGCAUCGGUGCAAUGUGAUAUGUGUUCCCGUAUAAGACCAUAGCUGGGCUAUGGCAUCGGUGUGACAUGAUGAUGUGAUUCCGUAUAAGACCAUAUUUGGGAUAUAGCAUUGGCAUGUGAUGUGAUCCGUGUAAGACCAUAGCAGGACUAUGGCUUCGGUGUGUGAUAUGUGACAAUGUGCAAGUCCAUAGUUUCCUAUGGCAAUGUGAUAAUGAAGCACUCAAUUCCAUUAGUGUUCCAUAAUUUGUCAAUGGAAAUAAAUGAGAAAAAGGGGCCCAAGGAAGUUAAAUUUGUAAAUAGGAAUAUGAAAAUUAUUCAAAGGAGCUUAAUAACGGAUUUGUGAUUUACAGGGUAAAGUAGUUAAAUUAAAAGAUAUAUGAUUGUGUACAAUGUUCGGUAAGAUUUGUGUUUUUAUGCCUAUGAGCUUACUAAGCUUCAAUAAGCUUACUUGUGUGUGUUUGAUAUUUUUUUAUGUAGAUUGAAUUAAAGUGAAGUUGGUAGAUUGGAUCAACACAACAAGGCACACUAUCCAGAUCAAUUCCGGUAGUUUUGUUUUAUGUUUAAAUAUUUAUAUGGCAUAGAGUUUAAAUGAAUUGAAGUAAAGAUGUUAUAAACUAGUUAACAAUAUUUUGUACUAAAACAGUUUUUGGUUAGUAGCAGUAGUUUGACUUUGAAAAUUCACUAUAAAUUAUGAAAAUCUAAUUAGAGGUUGAAUAAAAUAUUAAAUUAAAUCUUAUUAAGUCUAGUUUCUUAUAAAAUAAAUUAUGUAAGAAAUUGAAUUGUAAAUCGUGAGAUAUAAUAACUUUUGUGAGAUAAGGUCAGAGUGAUUUCGAGCUCUCCUGUUCUGAUUUGUAAAAAUCAUUAAAAAUUUUACAAAAAUAAUUAGGAGUCAUACUGUAUAUGUUUGGAUUCCUUAUUAGGUCUAUUUUUAAGAGAAAUAAACAGCAUGGUUAUUUGAAUUCUGUACAAGGAGAAAUUUGGUUCAUAGUUCACAGGGCUCAGAGUAGCCGAACCCUGAAAUAUGGGAGAUUUUAACUAAUAAACUGUACUAAUUGGCCCAACCAAAAAUUCUAUAAAAAAAUUAGUAAGUAGAUAUAUGAGUCUAGAUUCGGAGAAAAUUUACAUAUUUGGAUUUCGAGUUUCGUAACUUGAGAUAUGAUUUUUUUAGCAACUAUGACGCAAUUGGACAACUUGUCUGGAAAGUAUGAUAUAAAUUGUCUGAAUUUGGUUAAGUGCUCAAAUAAGUGUAGUAGUACCUUGUGCUUGACUCCGGCGACGGUCUCGGGUAAGGGGAGUUACAUGAAAUGCUUAGUUUUUCCAUGAAACACAGGGUUCUUGGCAAUUGCAACAGCUGACUGAUUGUCAACUUUGAUCUCUGUUGCUUUAGCUUGACGAGCAUUCAAGUCCUCCAACAGCUUUCUAAGCCAAAUUGCUUGAUUAAUAGCCCCAGCAGCUGCAAUAUACUCUGCUUCAGCUGUUGAUUGAGCAACAGUUUGUUGCUUCUUUGAGCUCCAGCUAAAAACUCCUAAUCCUAGAGUGAAGAAGUAUCCCGAUGUACUCUUCAUAUCAUCAACCGAGCCAGCCCAAUCACUGUCUGAAUAACAGACCAGCUUCAGUUCUUCAGCUCUCUCAAACUUCACACCCUGGCCUAAGGUGCCUUUGACAUACCUUAGGACUCUUUUAGCAGUUUUAAAAUGUGCAACAUUGCAGCAGUGCAUGAAUCUCAAUAGAAGACUAACAACAUACAAGAUGUCUGGCCUUGUUGCUGUCAAGUAGAGUAGGCAACCAACCAAACUCCUAUACUCCUUUUCAUCUAUUCGAUCAUGCUCAUUGAUGCUUGAGAGUUUCUCUCCUAAUGCAACAGGAGUGCUAACAGGCUUGCACUUUGACAUGCUGAAUUUACUUAAAACUUUCUGUGCAAAUGCUUGCUGGCUUAUGAAAAUGCCAUGCUCAUUCUGAUUAACUUUCAUACCAAGGAAGUAGGUCAUCAAACCUAAAUCAGUCAUCUCGAGCACAUCUAACAUUUGUUUCUUGAAAUCUUCAAUCAGCUCACCCUUGCAACCAAUAACUAAUAAUCCACAUAAAGUGAGACUAUCAACAAGGUUUCUUUCUCAGCCUUCUUCACAUAGAGUGUAGGCUCACUUAUGCUCUUCUCAAACCCAAGCUUCGACAGGUAUGCAUCAAUCCUAUCAUACCAGCCCCUUGGAGCCUGUUUUAGGCCAUACAAUGCCUUUUUGAGCUUGUAAACCUUGUCUUCCUCACCAGGGACCUUGAAACCCUCAGACUGUUCUAUGAUGAUUUCUUUCUUGAGAAAUCCAUUCAGAAAUGCUGACUUUACAUCCAAUUGAUGCACUUUCCACUGUUUUUGAGCAGCUAAGGCAAACAAUAACCUUAUGGUGUCUAACCUUGCAACAGGUGCAAAGGUUUCAAAAUAAUCAACACAUUGCUGCUGAUUAUACCUCUUCACAACUAGUCUGGCUUUAUGCUUGUUCAGAGAUCCAUCUGCAUUGUUCUUGGUUUUGAACACCCAUUUGACACCUAUAAUCUUCCUGUUUACCGGUCUAUUAACCAGCUCUCAUGUGUCAUUUUUAUGGAUCAUCUUCAUUUCAGCUUCCAUAGCCUUCUUCCAGCAUUCUUCUUUAGCAGCCUAUUCAAAUUUUGAAGGUUCAACUAUUGCAACAUUACAUCUUUGAUAGAUGUCUGCAAUAGUCAUUGUCCCUCUCAUAGGUGCUUCAUCAAAAUUAUCAUCAACUGGCCCUUUUUCAGCUAACUCCAAACCGCUGUCCUGCUGAUCUUCAUCAGUCAACCUUGCAUCAGCAUCAUUCCAGCUCCAUAGUCUACCUUCAUCAAACCUCACAUCCCUACUUACUAAUAUUUUCUUUGUUGAGGGAUCAUACACCCAGUAGCCCUUAUUAGUGUUUCUGUUGCCAAUAAAUAUUCCUGGAGCAGCCCUUCUCUCGAGCUUGGUUCUCCUCUCAACUAGAAUAAGGGCAUAGCAAACACAGCCAAACACUGUUAGGUGUGAAAUAGAAGGUUUGAUUCCAUGCCAGGCUUCAAAAGGAGUCUUUUCCUUGACAGCAACGGUUGGCAACUUGUUGAGUAGGUACACUGAGGUAUUGACAGCCUCAACCCAAAACUUGUUUGGCAGCUUGCUCUCAAACAGCAAACAUCUAGCCAUGUCAAGUACUGUUCGAUUCUUCCUCUCACAUACUCCAUUUUGCUGAGGAGUAUAGAUUGUUGUUAGCUGAUGAUGAAUCCCAGCUUGUUCACACAACUUUUGGAACCUUUCAGACAGAUACUCAGUACCAUUAUUUGUUCUCAAAGCCUUAAUCUUGCAACCAGACUGAUUUUCAGCCAAUGCCUUAAAUUUGUUGAAGGCUUCAAACACUUCAGAUUUCUGCUUCAAGAAAUAAACUCAGCAAAACCUAGUUAGAUCAUCUAUAAACAGCACAAAGUACUUACUGUCAAUUGAAGAAGAGGUCUCCAUUGGUCCACAGAUAUCAGAAUGGACAAACUCAAGUCUUUCUCAAGCCCUCCAUGCCACAUUAGCAGGAAAAGGCAACCUGGUUUGCUUACCAAGCUUGCAAACCUUACAGAUAGUGUCUUUGGCUUCAACUUUUGACAUGUCUUCAACCAAGUUCAACUUAUGCAACUGAUCAAGUGACUUGUAAUUCACAUGUCCAAAUUUCUUGUGCCAUAGACUAGCAUCAUCAACAAAGCUGGUGUAAGCCUUCUUCUCAAGUCCAUUGACAUUAAGCAUAAAACACCUAUCUAUCAUUGCUACUAUGGCCAACUCCUGACCAUAAGAGUCUUCAACAAUGCAUGAGCCAUUCUUAAAAGCGAGUGAGUAACCUUUUUCUACAAGCUGACCAACACUAAGUAGAUUCUGAUCUAUGUCAGGCACAAAAAGUACAUCAGAAAUCACUUUGUUACCUGACUUUGUGUUGAUCACCACAUUGCCUUUGCCUUUGGCUUCAAUCAGGUUCCCAUUGCCAAUCCUAAUCUUUGAGGCAAAACUUCUGUCGAACUCUUUGAACAACCUUUCAUCAGCUGCCAUGUGGUGUGUGUAGCCACUAUCCACUAGCCAGUCACAACUGACCUUGCUCGAGGUUGCAAAAUAGGAGGCUGUAAAAACAUGCUCCUCCUGAGUUUGAAGAUCCUCAGUAGCCUUGGCUUGCAUUUGUUGCUGAGCUUGUGCCUUCACUUUAUUUUUGCACACCCUCUCAAUAUGUCCCAGCUGUUUACAGCUCCUGCAUUGAACAUCUGGUCUGUACCAGCAGUUCUUCUCCAAGUGUGAAGUCUUCUUGCAGUGAAUGCAUGGUGGAAAUCUAUUCGUCCCUACAUCUCUCAUUGAUUUCUCCCUUCUAUCGACCCAAGGUUUCUUCCCCUUUUGACUAGAACCUGAGCCUUCCUUGGCCUUUGUUUGGAAAGCUCCUUCAAGAUGCUCUUCUUGCCUGUUGGCCCUCUCAGACAAUGAGAUGGUUGAUAAAUCCCUCGAGUCCUCUAAUGAAUAAAUCUUUGACUCAAACUUCUCUGGGAGAGUUGUAAUGACAUUUUCAACAACUCUCCUCUCGUAGAAAUUAUCACCAAGGAGCCUAAUGUUGUUGACUAUGGCCAUUAUUCUGUCAGAGUACUGCUUAAUGGUCUCUGACUCUCUCAUCUUCAGAUUCUCAAAAUCCCUUCUAAGGUUGAUCAGCUAUUGUUGUCUUGUUUUCUCUGACCCCAUAACUCCUCAUUUUGUGACAGCCCUAAUUUGACCCCUAUCGGAAAGUGGUUUCGGGACCACAAAAUCGAGUCAUAAAAAUAAUUAGAUGUUAUAUUCUGUGCUUAUUAUAUGUGAAGGUGCAUGUGUGAAAAUUUCAUGCUUUAAUACUGUCAUUUGUGAGUGAAAUUAUUAAAUAGGACUUAUGUGAAAAUUUGUGAAAAUAAGAUAGGUUAUUUUUGUAGUGGCCAAAUAAUUAAUGGUGUAAAUAAGUGGAUUUGCAUGUCAAAUUUCCCACUUUAGUUGUAGUGGCCGGCCAUGAUAAUGAUGAUAAGCAAAAUAUGUAUUAUAUAAUAAUAUUAUACUAGUAAUGACUUAAUUUAUGAAAUAAAAAUUAAGUAAAAUAAGAAAAGAUAAUAGAAAAACAAAAGAAAAAAAAAUGUUUGUUUCAUUUUCUUCCUUAAUAGCCGAACCUUAAAGAAGAAAAGAGGAAAUAGCAUUCGGUCACUUUGAGCUUGAAUUAAGCUCAAGAGCAUAGAAGGGCAAAUUCGGAUAAGGGAAAAGAGAAAGUAGUUGAAUAGCCGAUCUGAGACUGUUUGAAAAUAUUCGAGGUAAGUUUUAAGUAGUUAAAUAUAUAUAAUAUUCAAAAAUGACAUGAUAGACUAUGAGAAUUAAGUGUUACUUAUCAUAUAUGUACAUGGCCGAAUGGCAAUUUGUAUUGAAAGUAAAAGGUGAUAUGUUUUCAUGAUCAAAUGAUAGUGUUAGAUGAAAAUGAGUAAGAUUUUACGUGUAAACUAUUAUGUAUUUAAAUGUUAGUGAUGAAAUGAGAUAAAAGUGAAUGAAAUGUAGGAUGAUAUAUUGAAUGAUGUUUGUACCUAAAUUGGUGUGAUUGUGUUAUAUAAAACUUGUUGAUUUGAAUAUUCUGCAGUACAAUUCGGGCCUUUGAGCCUAGCAGGCUAUAAUACCGGUGAGAUAUUAUUCGGGCCUUUGGGCCUAGCAGGCUAUAAUGCCGGUGAGAUAAUAUUCGGGCCUUUGAGUCUAGCAGGCUAUAAUGCCGGUGAGAUAUUAUUCGGGCCUCGAGCCUAGUAGGCGAAAUGCCGGUGAAUGAAUUCGGGUUUUUAAACCUAACAGGCUGAAUGCCGGUAAUUUGAUAAAAGUCUAAAACUAAGAUACCUCGUGUUAGAACGACGAACGAAUACAUUCAAUACGUUAAGUUGGCUAGGUACGUAUUAUGUAUUUAUAUGUGAGUAUGAUUUAAAUUAAAUCAUAAGAGUAUAAUUUGAUACAUAUGUGAAUACAUGAUAUAUUUAUAUCUAUGAUUAUGAUACAUUCGGUCAAGUGUGAAUGUAUGUGAAAAUGUUCGAUUUAUUUAUGCCAUAUGAAUUCAGAUUAAGUGUAAUUAGAAUGCUAAGUGUGCAUUAUAUGCUUGUGUAUAUUCGGCCAAUGGUAAUAAAUAUAUAGGAAAUGACCUUUUGAGAAAUUGGAUAAUUGACGUAUAAUUGAGUUUGUCUGUUGUAUUGCUUAAAACUUACUAAGCUUAUGAAAGCUUACUCCUUUUGUUAUAUUUCUCUGUUUUAUAGAUUGUUGAUUCCAGUUACCUGCUUGGAGAGGGGAUUGUCAGCAACUCGUCACACUAUCUGUCUUUUUGGUACUGCUAUAUUUUAGAACUAGUAUGGCAUGUAUAGAAUAGACUUAAGUGAAUGAUAUUUUGAAAUGUUGAUGUAUAUAAGCCAAGCGAAAAUGGCAUCUUUUGAAUGUUUGUAUAAAGUUUUUUUGAAUGCAUAUAAAAGUUAAUGUUCUAAUAUCAAUGUGAUUGUACAAAUGUGGUAUUUUGGGUUGGUAACACUUCAUAACCCAUUCCGGCGACGGAUACGGGUUAUAGAGGUGUUACGCCUUUAGCUUCUCUUAUGCUUGCUUUGGUGAAUCACAAGCCAUUAUUCUUGUGAAGAUCACAUCAGAGACCCCAUUUUGCAAGCAGGCCAUUGCUUUAUACUUCUUGGCACACUCUUCAAUGUGUUGCCUCAUCUAAGCAAUGGUUGGAUUGGCCCUCAAUGGAGGUGGUUUAGCAUCAUUCUCGAUCACACUCCACAAAUCAUGUGCUUGAAGGUAUGUCUUCAUUUUAACUACCCAAAUGUGGUAGUUUUCUCCAGCAAACACAUGUGGUGGUGGUGGUGUGAAACUCAUCUUUGCAGCAAACAAACAGACUAACAAAAAACAGCUUCUGCUUCUUUUCUCUCAAACACAACCAAGGUCUUCAAAGACUUACGCUCUUCAUACCAUUUGUUGGAUUUUUCACAUAGAAAGAAAAAUAGAACUAAGUCAUCCGGAUAAAAUAUGAAGCUCUUGUUAAAGCUAGAUCAACAAAGUAAUAAUUCCGGAUAAAAUAUGAAAUAAGUUUGAGAUUCAAAGAAAUGAGAGUUGCAAGGAAAGCAACCAAAAACAAAUAGAAGUAAAAGGGAUGAGAAAACUGAGAAAACAAUAAUUGGCUAUUCUCAUUACCUUAAUUUCAUCAAAUGUAUGAUGUACAUAUAUAAAACUACAACAAUAUUUUUAACUUGUAGAAGUGAACAAACAUUAAAUACAUCCUAAUUAUAACCUAGGACCUGUCUAAAACUGGAAAGUACUUGACCAACUUUAUCCAGUCAAAAAGUUUUCUGUCAAAUCAUAUACAGGUCGUCUGUUACAAAAACGUACUUCAUCCGGAUAACAUACGUACAUUUGUAGUUGCUGUAUUUCAUCCGGGUAACAUACAUACUACUGUUUUUGCCACCUUUAACAUUAUCUUUUAUAAUUAACUACCCUUUUGAUACAAUUUUGAGGCUCUUCGAUGAUGAUAUCAAUGAGUUAAGCCAUAGACGGGUUAUUUAUAUGUAAUCAAUUUUUAGUUCCUACAAAUAAAAAAUUUACACUAUCCAUAACUAAAAUCAUUGGGAUGAUUUCCUGAUUAGGGAGGUUACACCUCUAAUAUACCCUUACUUUUGACAAUGUCAGCAACAAAGAGUUCCUGAUUUUAACAGUUCCAUAGGUUCCAAUAAAUCACCCUAAAUAGCAUGACCCCACUGGGAACCACCGCAAGACAUGAUCAAUGGAUACAGAUCUAUUUGUACAAAAUUGGUAACAUAUCUAUCCUAAUAAUUUCUGCAUGCAUGCAAGUUAUCUUGAUUGAUAACUAAAAGGUGCAGGUGCAAAAGAGAGAUUACCCCUUCAACUGGUUACCCAGUGCACCCACUGCUCCUUUGAAUGCCGGUAACAAUUUGAACGUGAGGUGAGUUUCUCUCACGUAUAAGAAUCCAAAAGUUGAAUCAGUGAGGUAACAAUAUCCUUAAUAGCGAUUGAUUGAUUUCGAUUCAAAAAUAAAUCAACUUAAUAAGCUCAAAAGGAUAUCAAAUGCUAGAAUCAUUCAUAGUCAAGUUAUCCGACAUGAAUUUAGUUUUAAAAGUCAAAAUGCAUUUAUGUUCAUCAUUUUGAAGCUCAAAAGCAAGUUAAAUUAAACUAUGAAAAAGAACUAGUUCCAAAGAAAUUUGUGGUGCAUUCGAAAAUGGAUGUUCUCCGUUAAAAAGUAAGGAAAUCCGUGACAAGUAAGAUGUGUAAUGAAAAUAUAAACUAAAAUGCUUGUUGAUUGUGGUAAAAAUAAUAUCAAUUUUUCAAUUAGUAACAUUCUUCAUCCCCUUUAUGGAAGGAAUUUACAGUAGACAACAUUAAUAAAUUUAUAUUAAUAUAUAUUUUACAAAUAUUUAUACAAGGAAUGGUUUCUACUGAUAAAUUAGUAAGCUUCGUCUAUUUCAUUUAUUAAUUGCUUUCGUGAUGAUGGUUUUUAUUAUUAAUGCAUUAUAUGAUUUUAAUAAUGAACAUAGAAAUUAGAAUUAAAACAUGGCAGCAAUGAAAUUGUUGAAAGCUUGCGCAUGAUUUGAAUAUAAACAAAUGGUCCAAAACAUUUUAUUUCAUUAAAUCCAUUUGGAACUCAAGCUUUUCUCACCCUCUCUCUCCCCCUAUAUUAUGUAUUUAUACCAGAAUUGGAUACAGAUUUAUAAGCUUAUUUAAAUUAACUACUGAAAGGUGGAGGCCUUGGCAUGCCUUGCACGAUGCCGCAAGUCAAUACACCUUCCGGUAAGUUGUACUCAUCCUUGAGGGAUCGGUUAGGGGAAAUAACACUAGCAUAAAGCUGUUGCCCAAGGUAAUGCCUGUCCCAUAUCUCCGACCUCAGGUUCCACAUCCCGCAGUUGUCGAAUGUCAAUAGGAUUGCUGACCAGGAGUUGGGGAAUACCUGUAUGGUGUGUCUGCUCACGGCGUCAAGAAGAUUGUAGUUCAUCCUCUUCUCAGGGCUCCAUUUCCCAAUGUCCAUGCUGCAACAAAUCAUUAUACAACUUAUUACUUAAACUCAAGCAAAUCACCACAUGUAUUUGUUAUGUUAGAAGCUAUACUUACCCCACAGCAAAGAAUGAGUAGCCAGACAAGUGGUAGGACUGAAUGGCGGUCUUGUGAUUCUCAAAGAUGAUUUCCACAAAGUUUCUGUGUGUCAUGUUGAGGACAAUAGGUGCCAAAGUUACCUUAGUGUUGUCACUUGGAGGCUCAUCGGGAAUGGUAUCAUACUUGAAAACCUUGUCGGCUACGCCAUAGUAUUCUGCAAGUUUUAGUGGAGUGGUUGGUUCGACAUAGGAGACUCCAUUAAGAGCAUAUCGGAGCUUGCCAUCUACUCUUUGUGCAGUGUUGGCAAGCCUGAUGGUGCGGGUAAUGUUAAUGGAACCAUAUUUGUAGGAGCCCUGAGGGUUAGGCCUAGCAGCGUUAGAAGUCAAGUUCCAACGGAAGGUACGGAAUUGAUUGAGUGACCAAGCCCAACCAACAGGUGGUGGUGGCAACUCGGAUGAGGCAGCUCCCUUGCCAUUCUUGUAACGGAUGAUGCCAGUUGCUGUAACCUCACGUUUGGUAAAACAAGUAGAGGCCACCAUAUAGUAAUCCCUUGGUUCCUGGUUGGCAGUAACAAGCACACUGAAGCACUGUCCAACAUACACAUCAAGGGAGUCAUAGUCAUUCUGCAUUGUGUGGGAACCCUCCAUCUCAAUCAAUUUCAUGGUGUGGCCUUGGAACCUGACGUUCAGAGAUGUCUUGAUACCCAUAUUGCAAAUCCUGUACUUGUACGUUUUGCCUGCCUCCAUCGUAAACAGAGGUUCAUCCUUCCCAUCACCUUUCGUAACUUUUCCAUUAAGGUAGACACCGUCGCAUCUCCCAAGGUUGCGACCGCUAUCAAGAAUCUUCUUGAGGCUGGUGUGUCCCUUGUUGAAAAAGUCUCCCACUAAGAGAGUAUAGUCAUCAGCCGGAUCAGUGUAGGGAACAGGGAUGAGUAGACGGCUGUUAACACAGAGGCCACCGAAACCACCAACCGCCUUAUGCAUAGCCGUCACCGGAUAGUAGAUGUAGCUGCCAAUCUGAUCCUUCACCUGGAAUUUAUAGGUGUAAUUCUUCCCGGGGGGAUAGGACAGUUGGUUCCCAGAACACCAUCUUGCCAAGAGUUUUUCCUAUGUUGAAUGCCGUUCCUGCAACAAAUCCCAUUUCCACAGAUAAUUAGCUCAAUUCUUCACUAUCAUAAUCAUAUUAAUGUAAAAAAGAAAAUACUCUUGGUAGUCGCUUACCAUGUUACAAGGAAUGGCUCAUCAAGGUUAUUGAACACAUUGUGUUGAAGUUGGUCAGCAUGAAGCCAACACUCGAGUCCAUACAGGCCAUGAAGACCAAGCAAAGCUGGAACAGAUGCAAGGGCUGCUGAUGCAAGCUCAUUUUGUUCAUUUUGUUAUAUUUAGUUGAUGAAAUGAGUGUUAGUUCAUUUCUAACUAAGUUAGCUUUCUGAUUGAUGUAAUUAGCUUAUGUAUGAGCUGUAAACACAGUUUUGUAUAAGUUUACAAGCUAAGAUUUCAAGUUUCUAUAUAAUUAGUGGAGGUAGGUAAUUACUUGUUGAUUUUGACAAGCCUUAUGCUUGUGUUAUGUACUGGCUUCAAGCCAUUGUAUUAUGUAUGAAUGAAAUUAGUUUUGUUCAUCAAUAUUCUCUCAAAUUUCCCCAGCUUAUUCUCUUCUUUCUUUAACUCGAAAUUGUUUGUUUGCUCAGCAAGUUUAGAGGCUUGCUCGACAAGAUACUUGCUGAGUCUGCUUGAUUCUGUUGUUGCACCAACAAUUGGUAUCUAGAGCCUAUUUCUUAAGGGAUCUGUUACUCAAUUCCAUGGCUUCAUCAAGCUUUUCACCAGCUGCACCUCAAGUCUUCAAUGGAGAAGGCUAUCACAUAUGGGUGGUCAAAAUGAAGACCUACCUGCAGGCUUUCGAUCUGUGGGAGGUGGUCAACUUUGAUGUUGAACCAGAGCCACUUAGAGCUAAUCCAACAGUGGCUCAGAUCAGGCAGCAUGCUGAUGAAAGGACCAAGAGGCACAAAGCUAUGUCUUGCAUCCAAAACUCAGUGUCUGAUGUGAUUUUCACAAGGAUUAUGGCCUGUGAAUCACCAAAACAGGCCUGGGACAAGUUGCAGGAAGAGUUUCAAGGGACAGAGAGGACAAGGCAGCAACAGUUGUUAAACUUGAGGAGAGAUUUUGAGAAUUUGAAGAUGAAGGAAGAAGAAACUGUCAAGCAAUAUUCUGACAGGAUUAUGGCUGUGGUUAACAGCAUCAGGCUCCUUGGAGAGCAGUUCAAUGAAGCUAGGAUAGUGGAGAAGGUUAUAGCAACUCUGCCUGAGAUGUAUGAGGCAAAAAUCUCAUCUCUCGAGGACUCAAGGGAUCUGUCCACCAUCUCCCUGACAGAGUUGAUCAAUGCUCUAUAUGCUCAAGAGCAGAGGAGAGCAAGCAGACUGGAGGAGCACCAAGAAGGUGCCUUUCAGGCAAGAACAAAUACUGCCUACAAAGGCAAGAAGGCCUGGAGAGACAAGCCAAAGAAUGAUGCUGCAAGGAGAGAAGGUCAGACUUGCAAGCACUGUAGAAAGGCUGGUCAUUCAGAAGAAAAAUGCUGGUUCAAUCCAGAUGCUGUGUGUCAGCAUUGUAAGAAGAAGGGUCAUGUUGAGAGAGUCUGUAAGAGUAAGACCAAAUCGAGGCAAAAUCAGUUUCAACAGAUGAAAGCUGAGGCUCGAGUAGCUAAGGAGGACAGUGACCAAGAGGAGCAAGUCUUUGCUGUGUCAUGCUCAGCUGCUCAGGAAAGGCUCUCAUCUGGUUGGCUCCUAGACAGUGGAUGCACCAACCACAUGACACCUGAUGCUGCAAUCUUCAAGUCUUUAGACAGAAGCUGCAGAACUAAAGUCAAGAUAGGAAAUGGUCAUUUUAUUCAAGCUGAAGGCAAGGGUGAUGUGCUGAUAUGCACCAUUACAGGUACCAAAGUGAUUUCAAAUGUGCUGUUGGCACCUGAAAUUGACAGAAACCUCCUCAGCAUAGCUCAGUUGCUGGAAAAAGGUUAUUCAGUUGUGUUUAAAGACCACCAGUGCCAAAUCAGUGAUCCAAGUGGAUCCAAACUGAUGGCAGUCCCUAUGGCUGAUAAGAGCUUUGUGGUUGACUGGACAAAAAAGUCAGACAUUGCCUACACAGCCACUUCAGAUGAAUCCAAGCUGUGGCAUCAAAGACUGGGACAUGCCAACUUCAGAUCGAUGGCUCGAAUGGUCAGAGAGGACCUGGCUGAAAAUUUCAUCAACUCAGUGGACCAUGAUGAUGUAUGUGAUGUAUGUCAGCUAGGAAAGCAGGCCAGACUCCCUUUUCCCUCGAAUCAAGCCUGGAGAGCCUCUGAAAAACUCCAACUGGUGCAUACUGAUGUGUGUGGCCCUAUGAAGACUGAGUCAUUAAGUGGAAAUAGGUAUUUCAUACUGUUCAUUGAUGAUUUCUCGAGAUAUUGCUGGAUUUACUUUUUAAAACAGAAAUCAGAAGUGGCCUCAGUGUUUUGGAAGUUCAAGACUGCUUCUGAGACUGAAACAGGCUGCAAGCUGAAGACCAUAAGGUCUGAUAAUGGGACUGAGUACACCUCAGCUCAGUUCCAAGCCUUCUGUGAUAAGGCAGGCAUCAAACAUCAACUUACCAACACAUAUACACCUCAGCAGAAUGGGGUAAGUGAAAGGAAGAAUAGGAGUUUGAUGGAUAUGGCCAGGUGCUUGAUGAUUCAGAAAAAUCUGCCUAAAGCACUAUGGGCAGAAGCAGUUAACACUGCAACAUACAUUCAAAAUAGACUUCCAACCAAGGCUUUGGAUCAAAAGACCCCAUUCGAGGCCUGGUUUAGCUUCAAGCCAUCAUUGGCUCAUCUGAAGGUCUUUGGAUGCAUCUGUUAUGCACAUGUACCUGCUGUUAAAAGGGACAAAUUGUCUGAAAGGGCUCGACCUGGUGUUUUGGUGGGGUAUAGCACUGUUAAGAAGGGCUAUAGGAUUUUAGAUCCUUCAACAAACAAAGUGUCAAUAAGCAGGGAUGUGGUAUUUGAUGAGAGGUCAUGUUGGAACUGGGAAAGACAUGAACCUGAAGAAGUUUCUGAAGAACUUGCAGUAGACCAAGCUGAGCCAGACCAAAAUGUCCCUGAAAUGGAUAUUGAUGAUGAACCAGUCAGAGGAACAAGGUCAUUGGCUGAGGUUUAUGAAAGGGCUCAUGUAGCCAUAGCUGAACCAAGCAACUUUGAAGAGGCUGAGGCUCAACAAGGGUGGAAGCAGGCAAUGGCUGAGGAGAUCAGCAUGAUUGAGAAGAACCAGACCUAGAAAUUGGUUGAAAGGCCAGUCAAAAGGAAGGUGAUUGGGGUGAAAUGGGUGUACAAAGCCAAGCAGAAUGCUGAUGGUACCUUGAACAAGCUAAAAGCAAGGCUAGUGGUCAAGGGGUUCAGUCAGAGGUAUGGCUUGGACUACUUGGAGACCUUUGCACCAGUGGCCAGGCUCGACACCAUCAGACUGCUGAUUGCCUUAGCAGCACAGCUCGAAUGGAAGAUCCAUCAACUUGAUGUGAAAUCAGCCUUUCUGAAUGGUUUCUUAGAUGAAGACAUCUAUGUUGAACAACCACAAGGGUUUGAAAUAGCUGGCAGAGAGCAUAUGGUCUACAAAUUGAAGAAGGCCCUAUAUGGCUUAAAACAGGCUCCAAGGGCCUGGUACAGCAGAAUCGAUGGCUACUUGACUGAUCUGGGAUUCAAUCGAAGCAAGAGUGAGCCAACACUGUAUGUCAAGAAGCAAGGGACACAAACACAACUCAUUGUGUCCCUAUAUGUUGAUGACCUGCUGGUGACAGGAGGAGAUCAAGCAGUGCUGGUUAAUUUUAAGACCAAGAUGCAAGAGGUGUUUGAAAUGUCUGAUCUUGGGGAGAUGUCCUAUUUUCUUGGAAUGGAGGUGACUCAAGCACAGAAUGGGAUAUUUUUAUGUCAGAAGAGCUUUGCCACAAAGAUUCUGACCAAGUUCUCCAUGCAAAACUGCAAACCAACUAAAACACCUGUUGCUGUUGGAGAAAAACUAUCGAGCCAAGAAGAUUUUGAGAAGGUAUGUGAAACUACCUACAGGAGUCUAGUUGGUUGUUUGCUAUACUUGACUGCCACUAGACCAGACAUAAUGUAUGCUGUAGGAUUGCUCUCAAGGUUCUUGCAUUGUUGCAAUGAGAAGCAUUUCCAGGCUGCCAAGAGAGUGCUCAGAUAUGUCAAAGGCACUUUGGACUAUGGCUUAAGGUACAGCAGGAAAGGAAAUCUAAAUCUAGUUGGGUACACUGAUAGUGACUGGGCUGGAUCAAUAGAUGACAUGAAAAGCACCUCAGGGUAUGCUUUCAACCUUGGUUCAGCUAUGUUCUGCUGGAGCUCGAAGAAGCAAAGUCUGGUGGCACAAUCUACUGCUGAAGCAGAGUAUGUGGCAGCAGCAAGUGCUGUCAACCAAGCCAUUUGGCUUAGGAAAAUCCUGGCUGAUUUGAAUAUGGAUCAAAGGAAAGCAACAGAGAUCUUCUGUGACAAUCAAUCUACUGUUGCAAUUGCCAAAAAUCCUGUGUUCCAUGGAAGAACAAAGCAUUUUAGCAUUAAGCUAUAUGUUGUUCGAGAAAUGGAGCAAGCUCAGGAAGUGAAGCUAAUUCACUGCAAUUCAGAGGACCAGCUUGCAGACAUUUUGACUAAAGCCCUUAAUGUCACAAGGUUUGAGCAUUUAAGAAGAAAAUUAGGUGUUUGCACCAUGCUAACCAAGGAGGAGUGUUGAAGUUGGUCAGCAUGAAGCCAACACUCGAGUCCAUACAGGCCAUGAAGACCAAGCAAAGCUGGAACAGAUGCAAGGGCUGCUGAUGCAAGCUCAUUUUGUUCAUUUUGUUAUAUUUAGUUGAUGAAAUGAGUGUUAGUUCAUUUCUAACUAAGUUAGCUUUCUGAUUGAUGUAAUUAGCUUAUGUAUGAGCUGUAAACACAGUUUUGUAUAAGUUUACAAGCUAAGAUUUCAAGUUUCUAUGUAAUUAGUGGAGGUAGGUAAUUACUUGUUGAUUUUGACAAGCCUUAUGCUUGUGUUAUGUACUGGCUUCAAGCCAUUGUAUUAUGUAUGAAUGAAAUCAGUUUUGUUCAUCAAUAUUCUCUCAAAUUUCCCCAGCUUAUUCUCUUCUUUCUUUAACUCGAAAUUGUUUGUUUGCUCAGCAAGUUUAGAGGCUUGCUCGACAAGAUACUUGCUGAGUCUGCUUGAUUCUGUUGUUGCACCAACACAUUGAUCACAAUAUUGUUGUUGGUAGUAGAGUUAAUAUUUGGUCCUAGGAAUUGCCCGUUAAUAAGAAUACCCUUUACUGGCACUCCCAAAGGAGCAAUGGUGCCAUAGGUGACGUUCCAUUCGAAAAAAAGGGUAGGAUCUCCACCCUGAACCAUAAGGAUUGAUCCUGCCCAGAGAAAUAGCAUCGAUAUUAACAUUAAUCGAGCCAUCUCUUACCCUUUUUUUCAUCGACCGUAAUUUAUUAAUUAUCCCCUUCUAGAGGAAGAGGAAGAAGAAGAGGAAGAGGAAGAGGAAGAUGAUUUGCUUGAGUUGAUUUUGAAUUGCAUGCAUACCUCUCCUUUUAUACCACACAAUCUCCUCAUGAAUGCUUCCAUCUUAAUCCCUUAGAAUACGCUCAUCCAUUCAUUUAUUUCCUUGCUUUUAGCAAAUACUGUUUUUAACACUAAUCAAUUUGAUUUUAUCAUUCUCUUCUUUUCCAUCAAGGAUUUUCACAUCCACUAUGCUGAUGGCUAACAUUUUUUUUAGGGUAAUGGUUACUUUGAUGAGAGUUUUUAUAGUUAUUUUCUUAAUUUAAAUAUAUAAAUAUGAUAAUUUUUAAAAUAAAUGUAUUAAAGUAACAUUAACCUCCAUUCUUAUCAUUAAUGCUAGACACUUGAUAUUAAGUGAAAUUUCAUAUAUAAUUAAAUUAUGACCACCAUAAAAAGUUCAUAUUGAAUAAAUAAUGUGAAAAGAAAUUUACAAUAAACUUUAUUCUUUUGGAGAGAUUAUAACAUUAUAUCCAUUUGUGACAUCCUAUGAGAGAAUUUAUAUUAAAUAUAGAUAAAAUUAAAACAUUGUAGAGGGUUCAGAGCAAACUUUGAAAAUAAAUGAACAUGAUGUAUCGAAAAAAGGCAGAGAUGAAUACUAGAACAGAUCCUAUAACAUUAAUUACAGCGACGGGUGAUGUUUGAUAAGCAAGAGAAAGGGAAUUGUGGUUGAUGAUGAGGCUAAACAACAAAAAAAGUUGAAAGAAUUUUAGAGAGAGCUUUGAGAAUUAGAAUACCAAAGUGCCAAAAAGUCACUCAACUAGUUGUGAUGGGCUCCUAUUUAUACUAGGUAUUUAAUAUGAGUAAUGAAAUUAGUUUUCAAUUGCAAUGGCGAUAAUGGUUAAGACGGGAUGGUUAAUGACUUUUUUGGUGAUGAUAAUGAUAAUAUUGAAGAAGUGUUCACCAUAUUUUUUAAAGAAAGGAAAAACACUGAAUGUUAGAGGAAAAUGUUAAGAGGAAACCUCUUAACUACCUUCAUAUUUAAUCUGCCAAGCCAAGUUCUCCGAAAAAUCCUAAGAGUGAAGACAACCUGAGAACUCUGUCAUAUCCCAAGGUUAUUUCCACUUCUUCUACUUUGGUGAAGCAGUAUCUUGUGAAACAUUUACCUCGGAACAUCUCUUAGAAUGCAAGACAAUGGAUGUUCUCGAACGAGAGUUGUUCAUAAAUAAGGGUUAUUCUUACUUGUUCCAAACAAAAGUUGUUCUAUGGCAAUGUUUUGUUUGGUAGAGUUUAUUGUGAAUAAUGACUCUUUCGAAAAAAACAAAAUUCUACUAAAUAGAAAUUGUUCUAAACAUAGUUAUACGUGAAACACUAUUACUCUAAACAAAAGGUGCUUUGAACUUGAUCGAAUAUCACACACACAGGUAUAUGCAUCGUUACAAAUGGUAUAAAAUAUCGAUCCCACAAAGAACUUUUACUAAUUAUAAUGCCAAUCAUCGAAAUUUACUUUGAUACCUAUCCAAAUAAAUCAAUGACUAAAUUAUAUAAAAGAAAAUUAUAGAGUUCAAAUACAAGGGAAAUUCAAAUAGGCAUUACUGUUCUACAUCAAAAUACCAGUGGGAUGGCAUGACCCCAAUUUGUCUAAUAACAAUAACGUAUCGAUUUCUCUAAGGGGUCGACUGAGCACUUUAUUCCAAAAUCUUGUGAAACUUGUAGUUUGGACAAUGAAUCAGCUACCUUGUUUUUGUCCCUCUAAUUUCCAUAAUAUGUUUGUGGUGGCUUGAAAAGUGAAUAACAACUCUUUAAGUUUGAGAUUCAACUAUUAGAUUAAACUAGUUUUUUUUUUUUGUACAAAGGAAGGCUUAACUAGCCAUGAUGCAAAAAACAUUAGAGUGUAGGAGCUAAAAAUUCCUAUUAUCUUCACUUAGCACAUCAAUUACUCUUAGAAGAGUGUCCUCAAAGAAACCAGCACAAAGACCUUAGUUAAAUACAUGGAUCAGAGACAUGAAGAUUGUCCAAUGUGAGAAUAAGGAAGUGGUGAAAGUAUCAGAGACUACAGAGUAAGGUAAGUGUUGUUCUGCAAAUCCAAAUAAAAGUGGUUGGCCAAAAAAUAUUGAUCUGAAAGUGUUAGAAGUUGAAGUGAUUCGUUCAUCAAGUGAAGAUGACGUCAACGAAUUAAUUGCAAAUCUAGAUAAUGUGAGUCCAAUGUCCUUGGCUGUGAUGGUGGCUUUACCUCUAGUGAGGUUUGACCUUUGUUAGUUGUGAUGAUCAUUGGUGCAGGAGGGCUAGUAGGCAUUUGGAUAAAAGUGACGAUGAAAUUUCAAGUAACAUAAAGGGUGUUAGAUGUCGAAACCAUUUUUUUGAAAAAACGGGAAUCGACUUUGUUUGAAAACGAAAAUUAAAACGGGAAUUGCCACCGACAUUUAUUAGGUGUGAUCGGAUCACCUUUGUUUUAAUAAAACAAUUUUAGUUUACUAAAACGGCAUUUUGGUCUAUGAAAUUCAAGAGAACAAGUUCGGGAGUCAGUUACGUGCGAGGAAAGAUUGGCACCCUCGACACGCCCAAAAUUGGUACCGAAUUGAUUAGUUAAUGUCUUAAUGUCGAAAGUUGAAAAUCGAGAAUGGAUUUAAAAUACGACCCUUUUUAUUAACAUCAAAAAAAUGCUUGAAUUAGAUCAAAAGAUUGCUAAAGAUUCUCUCGUCUCGGGAUAUCGAAGUAUCACAUCCCGUAAGUUAGGACGCAAUACCAUGAACUCCCGAGCCCAAGUUUGUCUUUAAUUUCAAUUAGAAAUCCAUAAAUUUCAAAACUCAAAAGGAUAUUUGGCUAUUUAGAACCAACGAGAAAACAGAAACCCUGUAAGUUAGGGCACAAUUCCUCGAUGUUCCAAAACGCAAAACAUUGCCUCAUUUAGAAAAUUUCUUUUUGAAAUAUAGCGCGUAUAAUGUUUAAUAAAGUGCGUUAUUCAUUUGGAUUAAAAUAAAACAAUUUAUUGGAUGAAUGUAAUGAGACUUGAUUCAUGGGCGAUGAUAUGAAAAUAUAGUAAUGAAUAUAAGACAAAUAUACAUGGACACUACAUUAUACAAAUGAAUAGUAGUAGUGCAAACUUGUGAAAUAAACAGAUCAAAAUUCACAUAAUGGCAAUAAUCACACAAGGUACAUCAUUUAAAUAUUAACAUUAACAAUUAAAGACAAAUGAAUUUAAUAAUAAUUUAAAAGGUAUAAAACAAAUAAAAAUGAAUAAGAUGUAAAACAAUUUUAAAAUGAGGUUAAAAUAAUGUGAAAAAGGAGAUUUAAAAUUGACAAUGUGUACAAUAAUUUAAAAUAGAGGAUAUAUAUAUAUAUAUAUUAAAAUAGGUAAUAUAUAUAUACAUAAUAAAUACUAUAUAAAAAAAUCGAGAAUGAACAAUGAUAGAACAAUUUAAUACAAAUAAGAGAUUUUAAAAUAAGUUGUAUAAGACAAAUUUAAAUAAGAAUAAGACAAGUUUAAAAUAACACAUAUAAAGAAAUUUAAAAUAAAUAUUAAGAGACUCAAAACAAUAAUACGUAAAAGAGAAAUUUAAAAAAGAUAAUAUAUAUGAAAUUUUAAAGUGAACAACAUACAAAAUCUUUAAGAUUGAUAAUAUACGCAAAGAUUUAAAAUAAAUCAUAUAUGGAAGAAAUUUAAAAUGAAUAAUAUGUAAGAAUAAUUUUGAAAAUAUAUAAUAUAUAAGAAAUAUGUAUAACAAUUUAAUAUAAGUAAUAUAUGAAAUAUCAAGGUAAAUAAUGAUAAAAGGUUUGCGAUAAACAGUGAAAGAAUUUGAAAUCGUCUACAUAUAAAAUAGUAUAACAAAAUAACAUAUAAAAUUUAAUAUAUAUAUAUAUAAGAUGGUUUAACAUAAAUAAUGUAUAAAAAUUUACAAUAAAUAAUAAAUAAUUUAAAAUGAAUGACGCAUAAGGCGAGUUUAUAAAAUGAAUGAUGUAAGGGAAUUUUAAAAUCUAUAUUACAUAAAGCAAAUUACGAAAGAUUUGUAUGAAUAAUUUUAAAAUAGAUGAUAUGUAUAUAAAUAAAAGUGUAAAAUAAAUAAUAUGGAAUAAGUAAAAUGGAGGUAUAAACAUAACUUUAAAAUAUAUAUAAGUUAAUUUAAAAUAAUAAAUAAGAAGUUUAAUAUAUAUAAUAUGUAAAAGAAUUAAAACUAGAGAAUAUAAAUAUAUUUUAUAAUAACGAUUCAAUAUAAUAUAUAAAGAAUUAUUAGAAAUACAUAAUAUGUAAUAACUAAGGGAAUUGAAUAUAUAGCAAUAAAACAGUUAUGAAAGAAUAGCAAAUAUGUAAAAACUUGAAAUAAAUGGUUUAUACACAUAUAAUGGGUAAAGGUUAUAAAAUAAAUAAUACAUACUUAAGGUAAGUUGAGAUAAAUAAUAACAAUUUGAAUAAAUAAUAUAUUAAAGUGAAUUACAAUGAACAAUAAUGAUAUGAAUAAAAAGUGUAUUAAAACAAAUUAAGAUAGAUGUAAAGAGAAUGAAUUGGAUAAAUUUAGGACGUAAUUGAAAGUGAAUCAGAACUCAAGGUAUAAAUUUGGAAUAAAAAGGCCAACAAGGACUAAAUCAAAACGCGCUUAGACUUGCGAGGACCAAAUGGGGUAAUAUUCCAAGUCUAACGCGCUGCGUUUCGUUUGUUCAGCCCAAGGAUCAAAUUAAAAAUGACAUAAAAUAAUCGAGCGAUAUUUGAAGAGAAAAAAAAUACAAAUCAUGACAAAAUCAAAGGUCAGAAAAGGAGGAGGGGCCAAAGUGGGAAAUUUCCCAUUUCAAGGAAACGCGCGGACCCCUUGGAGGGGGUCGGGUCGCGCGCGAGUGCACCAAAACGUGCCAUUUCGGCACUUAGUACCCCACACUCAAAACGCUGACGUUUUGUAAGUGUAUAUAAGGCCCAAUUUUUGUUACAGAAUUUAUUUUAGCCUUCAAAAAAAAACUGAAACAGACCCUUAAACUCCCUCUCCCUCCCCCUCCUCCAUUUUCUCAUUUCGGCUAGGGUUUCAACACUCAUCAUCGCCGCCGUCGUCAUGGCUCUUUGAGGCCACCGUGGUUCCCACCGUAGACGGUGGUUAAGGGCAUACGAAAAGGGCUUUUCACUUCCGUUCAAGGCGCCCGAGAGUUCAUGACGAUAGACCCCCUUUUAUUUCCUCUUAGAAUCGAUUUCAACAACGGAGCAGAGGCUCCGGCGACGAGAAUCCGGGCUUAGGUAAGUCCCAUUUUCUCUUCCUCCUUAUUUUUUGUUAUAAAAUAAAACUAUUAAAGAAAAAAAGAAAUAUCAAAGUAAGGAAAACGAAAAGAUAAACGAUAAAACGAGAUUUAACCUUUGUUUUCUCUGCUUUUUGAUUGCUUAAAAUCGUGUGUGUUACAAUCUUUUUGUGUUUGUGGCUAUAUAGCCGAAUACAAAAAUCUAUUAUUUGCUACUGUUUUGGCACUGCUUUUGCUUUUUCCUUUCUUUGCUAUGUUUGCAGGUCCAUGGAGGGUCAACGUGUAACGCCCCAAUUUUCGGGAAUUCUGUGAAUGUUGGCAAAAUUUCAUGCUUUGAUUUUGUCAUUUGUGAGUGAAAUUAUGAAAUAGGACCUAUGUGAAAAUGUUUGAAAAUGCUAUAGGCUAAUUUGUAGUGGCCAAAUAAAUAGUAGUGCAAAAUAGGAGGAUUUACAUGUCAAACUUUCCAUUUUACAAGAAGUGGCCGGCCAUCAUGUUGUUGAAAACAAUAUGUGCACUUGAUAUCCAUAAUUUAUGGUACAAAUUGAUAAAAAAAAUUGAUAAUGGGUUAGGUAAAUAUUACAUGAUGGGCAUGAUAAGCAUUAUGGGCAUUUUUUUUAUUGACAUUAUGGCAUAGGUAUGGCACAAAUAAUAUAGGUUAUUUUGUGUCAUAAAAUGUUGGUAAUAAAAUAACAAAAGGAUGAAAAGAACAAAGUUUUGUCCAUCUUUGUUCAUCAUAGCCGAAAGUUAGAGAAGAGAAAGGAGAGGAGAAAGCUCUUGAGUAUUCGGUCACUAGGAGGAGGAAAAUUGAAGGUAAGUUCUUGGUACCUUGCUUCUAUUUUGAGGUUCAUGAGUUCUUCUUGAUUCUACCUUAACUCUUGAAGCAUAUUUUGGUUUUUAGUUGUGUUGUGAGCAUUUAGUCAUGAAUUAAAAUGAAGGAAAUGGUUGUUGUUUCAUGUUCUUUUGAUGAAAAAUGGAAGAUAGGUGAAGUUGAGCCAAACAAAUGAGCAUGCAUGUGCCUUAGAUGCUAAAGGGAAAAAUCGGCUAACAUGUUGUGCUUUAAAGUGAUGAAAUGGAGAUUAUACUUAAGUAAAAUCAUAGAUAUGUGAUGAUUGAUUGGUGAUAUACAUGUUUAAAUAACAUGCAUGCAAGGUAUGUGUGAAAGAGUGAUUUGGUAAUAAAUCUGCUUGGGACAGCAGCAGUAAUGUAACUUUGGAAAAUCACCAUAAAUUUUGGGAGAUGAAUUAGAAGCUAAAUAAAUUAUGUAAUUAAAUCUUAUUGAGUCUAGUUUCUAAUGAAAUAAACAAGAACAUAUUUUUAAUUCUGUAUAAUGAGAAAUUUGAUUCGUAAUGAAGAGUGGUCAGAUUAGUCAAACAGUGAAACAUGGGAAACUUUGAGAAAAAUCUGGUAUUGAUUGGCUAAACUAAAAAUUCUGAAAAUUUUAUGGAUAGAAGAUAUAUGAGUCUAUUUUCAGGAAAAAUUAACGGCACUUGAUUUGGAGUUUCGUAGCUCCAGUUAUAAAUGAUUUAGUGACUGUUGCUCAGGAAGACAGCUUGCAGUGAAAUUAUUAUUAUGUGGUAAACACUGACAAAAAUUUGUUAAUGAGUUGCUUAUUGAUUUCUUAUAAGCUUGCUCUGAUCUGUAGGUGUGGUUGGCCGAAUAUUGUAAGGGGUUAAUACGUAGUUCGUAUUUGAAUAGUUAGAUUAACGUGUUAGUAAUCCAAUUGUAGGCAGUUCGUGUAUGGAUCUCGUCAGCAUAUCGUCGCAAACAGGUGUGUAAUUAACACCAUCUUAUAGACUAGAUCGGCACAAGCCGAAAAGCCGAAAUGCCGAAAAACCGGUAUUUUGAGAUCUUGCGAGUGUGUGAAUGCUCAUGAGAUUAAUAGUUUGAUGUAUAUGGUAAAUUAAAGUGAUAAGACUGCAGAGUGCGCGAUUCUGUGCAUUUCGAUAUUUUUGGGCUUAAUGGACCAAAAACGGGAUAAUAGGCCAACGGGCCCAAAUUGGUAAGAAAACGCGGUAAGUGUUUCUGAUCGUACGUAAAUGGCUAUGUUAUGUAUGAAAACCUUAAGAAUAGUUAAAUUACUUGAAUACCCCUAUGUAUGCAAAAUCACCAUUAUACCCCUAGGGUUACUUUUGACUGAAAAGCAUGACGAUCUGAUUCUGUAUGAUGUAUGCCAUGAUUAUAUAUCUAUUGCAUGGGGACUUGGGUUAUACUAUGGAGGAAGAGUCCUGGUGGCUAUGCCACAAUUAUCUGAUCUGGAGGCUCUGCCACAUAUAUCUGUUCUGGUGGCUAUGACACGAUUAUCUGAUCUGGUGGCUCUGCCACAUAUAUCUGUUCUGGUGGCUCUACCACAAUAUCUGUAUCUGGUGACUUCGUCACAAUAUCUGGCAGCCUCGCUGCGAUUUCUGUGGUGUGUAGCGGUUGGGUGGGUCGAGUAGUCUCCCCACAUGGUGUAAGGCUGGUAUGGGGGUGUUAUGGAUGAAUCUGGGUUAGGUUUCUGCAUAAACAUGUAAUAUCUGUUUUGUUCUGUUAUGGGCCUAUGGGCUUUAUUCUGAAUUUUGGAGCUGUGAAGGAAUUCGGAGUGGCCACCCGUUCUAAAAGUUUGAUUUUCUUCUGGUGAACUGGACAUCCUUUUAUUUACAUUUAAAGUUUUGGGUUUUUAAAUGUAAUAAGGCCGCUUAAUUAUUUUUUAUGGUUUUAAUAUGUAUUACUAAGAUAGGUAUUACUUAUUUUAACUGUUGAAAUUGGAUAGCUUUAGGGCGCGUUUUCAAAAACAACAAUUGAUUUCAAAAUAACACGACAACAAGCAAAGCUUCCGCAAUGAAAGUAUUUUUCAAAAUUAAUCACUUUUCCUAAAAAUGACUUAAUCAAAUCGGUUUCCUAGAAAUAUCCAUGACGUUAAGGUGUGGCAAUGGCGGUAUGCAUGUCUAGGAUUGGAUCCGAAGGGAGCUCGGUACUUAAGCAGUCCGAUGGACUCACCACCUCUUUUCCAGUUUCCUACCUGGUGCACAGCUUCUAUUCACUUUAACCUAUAAUGAAAUUAUCUUUUAAAACACUAAGUAAGUUUUUCUGGAUCAACAAUAUAAAAUGUUUUGAACGCUUCGAUAUGGCAUGUCGGAUCCGGUCAUAACGUCUAGGCCGGGUUCGGGGUGCUACACAACGGGGGUGAAAACCGGCCAUUUUGGUGCAAGGAAGCAGCCAUCGGGCGUAGUGCAUGCCGAGGGCGCACAUGGGAGGGGGGUACGGCGCGAGGGUGACCUAGGGUUUUCAUUUUCCUAAACAUGAGUUUAGGUUUUGGGCUAACGGGCCUAAUAUGUAAUGGGUUAAUGGCUUAAGUUAAUGGGUUUGUAAUUGGGUUAAAACUUUUUGUAAGUGGACUGCUUAUAUUUUUUGGGGUUUUUAUUUAAACGGGCCGGGAAAAAUUGGGCCCGUACAUUAGAUUUUGCUCAUUAGUCCAAUAAAAUGAAAAUGGGGGUAACUGUGUCAAAUAUGGUUGUGGAACGUUCAGAAGGUAGUAAUGAGCUGUGCAAUCGUAGUAGGGAAAACAAAGAGUGUUGAUGGGCACAACGAUAAAGAGAGGAGGUACGAGACUUAUAGCAUAUAAAAGGAUAUCUCAACCAAUGUGCCUCUGAAAAGCCUGAUCAUUGGUAUUUAUAUGAAAUAAAAUUUACUUUGGAAGAGUAAAAGAAAGCUCAUUUUUCCCAAACAAUCUGCCUCUAUAUUUAUAUGUAAGUUUCAAUUUUUGAUUGCAAAGAAUUUGGAUGUGUCUUUACAAGGGCUUCACAACUUGGCUCUCCAUUUUGGUCAUCAAGUAAAGAAAAAAGCUCAGCAUUGUUGUUUUCAACUCUGACUCUGUGAAACCCCUUGUUCUAUGUAAUAUUUAAGCCAAGCUUCAACCCAAAACACUGAGCACAAACCCAAGUUUCUCAUGUGCCCAACAUAUAAAAGAAUAGAAAACCAAAAUUUCACAUUUAAAAAUAUAGGAAAAAGAAUUUGAUCAUGAUGUGAAUAUAUAAAAAUAAUAUAAUAUGUACAUUUAUAAAUUAAUGUAUAUCAAAAUCUAUAUAAAACUAGAAUUUUAAUUUUAAAAAUAUAAAAAAAAAUUGAGCAUGUGAAUAUAUAAAAAUAAUAUAUAUUUAUAAAUUUAAAAUACUACUUAUAUAUAUUUUUUCUCUAAUUCUUAUUUGUGUUUCAUUCACGUUUAUAUUGUCCAUGUAAUUAAAUAAAUGGUUAUGGUAAGGAUUAAAUAUUUGAAACUUGUUUGAUGAAGAUGUAUUAGUCAUGAAAUAUUAAUUAACCGUCCACACAAUGAAUGUGUAAAUAUUAUAUUAGAACAAAAGAGAAUCAUGGUAAAAUCAAAUCGGUUAAUGAUAAAAAUAGUAUAUACUAAAAGAAAGUAAAGAAACAAAUAGAUGUACGUAAUUUAAGGAUUUCAAGAGAAAUAUUGAAUGGUGAAGAAUGAUUGUAUUAGAAGGAGUUGUGUUGUAUAAAAGGGUAAGCCAACAUGCAACUCAAAUCAUCUCAAACAAAUCUUCUUCCUCUAAGAGGGGAUAAACAGUCUUAAUUUAUAAAAUUAUAUAAGAGAAUUUGAAGCCAAUAAAAUGGCUCCAUCGACGAUAAUAGCGGUGUUUUUCCUCUGGGUAGGAUCACUGCUUAUGGUUCAAGGUGGAGAUCCCACCAUUAGUUUCGAGUGGAAGGUCACUUAUGGCACUAUAUCUCCUUUAGGUGUUCCCGUUAAAGGUAUUCUUAUUAACGGGCAAUUCCCUGGGCCAAAUAUUAACUCUACCACCAACAACAAUGUUAUAGUCAAUGUGUUCAACAACCUUGAUGAGCCAUUCCUUUUGACAUGGUAAACAAGAGUACUUUUUUUUCCCAUUUGAUUAUAUUAGUAAAGAGUUGAGCUUAAUUACAUAUUUAUAUAUGGAAAUGAAAUUUGUUGCAGGAGUGGCGUGCAGCAUAGGAAGAAUCCUUGGCAAGAUGGUGUGCUUGGAACCAACUGUCCUAUCCCCCCCGGGACGAAUUACACCUAUAAAUUCCAGGUGAAGGACCAAAUUGGCAGCUACAUGUAUUAUCCAGUGACGGGUAUGCAUAAGGCGGUUGGCGGUUUCGGUGGCCUUCGUAUUAACAGUCGUUUACUCAUUCCUGUCCCCUAUGCUGAUCCAGCUGAUGACUAUACUAUCAUAGCAGGAGAUUUUUUCAACAAGGGACACACCACCCUCAAGAAAAUUCUUGAGAGCGGUCGUAACCUUGGUAGAUGUGAUGGUGUCCACAUUAAUGGAAAAGUUGCUAAAGGUGAUGGUAGCGAUGAACCUCUCUUCACCAUGGAAGCAGGCAAAACCUACAAGUAUAGGAUUUGCAAUGCGGGUCUCAAGACAUCUCUGAACGUCAGGUUCCAAGGCCACAACAUGAAAUUGGUUGAGAUGGAGGGUUCCCACACAGUGCAAAAUGACUAUGAAUCCCUUGAUGUUCAUGUUGGACAGUGCUUCAGUGUGCUUGUUACAGCCGACCAAGAACCAAAGGAUUACUUUGUUGUGGCCUCUACCCGUUUUACCAAACAAGAGGUUACAGCAACUGGUGUCAUCCGUUACACCAAUGGCAAGGGCGCACCCUCACCUAAGUUGCCACCACCACCAGUUGGUUGGGCUUGGUCACUAAAUCAAUUCCGUACCUUCCGUUGGAACUUGACUGCCAGCGCUGCUAGGCCUAACCCUCAGGGCUCCUACAAGUAUGGUUCCGUUAACAUUACCCGUACCAUCAAGCUGGCCAACACUGCUCAAAAAGUAGAUGGCAAGCUUCGAUAUGCUAUUAAUGGAGCCUCCUAUGUCGAACCAACCACUCCACUAAAACUUGCAGAAUACUACGGCGUAGCUGACAAGGUUUUCAAGUACGAUACCAUUCCUGAUGACCCACCAGCUGAGAUCACUAAAAUAACCAUGGAACCUAUUGUCCUCAACCUGACACACAGAAACUUUAUGGAAAUCAUCUUCGAGAAUCGCGAAACAGCCAUCCAGUCUUAUCACUUGUGUGGCUAUGCCUUCUUUGCUGUGGCGUAAGUAUUUGGUCUUUAAAUUCUUCUAGUAUAUAGUCAUUACUUUCCGUUUAACUAAAUUCUAUAAUCAUUUGUUGCAGUGUCGAGACUGGGCAAUGGAGCCCUGAGAAGAGGAAGAACUACAAUCUUCUUGAUGCCGUGAGCAGACACACCAUACAGGUUUUCCCCAAGUCCUGGGCAGCUAUCCUAUUGUCAUUCGACAACUGUGGAAUGUGGAACAUCAGGUCAGAGAUAUGGGACAGGCGUUACCUUGGGCAACAGCUUUAUGUUAGUGUUCUUUCCCCUAACAAAUCACUCAGGGACGAAUACAACAUGCCUGAGGGUGCACUAGUUUGCGGUGUUGUGGAAAACAUGCCAAGGCCACCACCAGCUUACACCUAAUUUAAAGCUUAUAUAAACCUGGAACCAGUUCCGCUUCAAAUACACAUAAAACGGCCUUUGUAGUGACUAAUGCUGACUUUUCCAAUAAAUUAAUUUUCUUGAUUCAAUAAUAAAUUCUUUCAUUUUUUUCUAUUUACAGUGUGUGUGAAAUAUAUUUUAUUUUUUUAAAAUAUAAUUUUUUUCGUAAAUAAUAUCAAUAAUAUUAAAAUAGCAAAAAAAAUAAUACAAUCACAAUCCAAAUAGAUGAAUAUGUAAAAAUUUACAUAAAUUAACGAAUUAUUAACAAAUAAAAGUUAAUUAAUAUUUUUAACUGUUGAAUUUAUUAUUUUACUUGCAAGUAAAAUUUCGAAUUAAUCUAAAUACCAUGAUUCGAAAUUUUUACAUUAAAAAAUAUAGUUAAGUAUUUAAAAUUUAAUCCGAAUUGAAAUUAUGAUGGUUAAAUAUUAAUACACAAAAACCACCAUUAAAUAGAAAAUUUGCUUGGUAUUGGCAAUUUAGAAAUAAAAAUAAUAAAUCCCUUCUCUCUAAACAAUGGUGGCUAUACGUCAAUAUCUAAGUAUGGGAUAAACAAUGAAGUAUGAAUUCCCUAUUGUGCCAAGAAGAAUAUGUCUAGUACUUCAUGAGAAAACCAGCAAUCCAUUGGUAAUGAAGGGUGUCGUUGCAAUUAAUUCUAGUUUGAUAAAUGGGUGUCUGACAAACCCUUGAAAUCUUUGUUACCAACAAUCUUUAGGCUGGUUAGGAUCAAAUUGAAAAGUAGAGAGAGUAAAAAUGAUCAAAUUAAAGAACAUGAAUUAAAUCCACAACUUAUAGUAAAAGAUUAAUAGUAUAAUUUAACCAAAUAAAUUUAGUUGUUAUUGUUUUUAUUAUAAUUGAAAUUUCAAUUGACCAAUUCGAAAGGUAUCAGAAUUAAAAUUGACCAAAUUAGAGUGUAAAGACUAAAGCUAUAGCUUACAUGUAUAAUAUAGGAAUGAAUAGCAUAAUUUGACAAUUUUAUUUUUCGAUUUAAAAAGCAAAAGUAUUAAUAUGACCUUAUAAAUAUAUAUUAGCUAUUAUAUAAUUUGACUUUUAUAUACUUAGCCAAAAUAAUUAGGUACAUACAAUUGAGUGACAUCAAUUUGAGAGUGAAAAGGUUAAAAUUGGUAAAAUUAGAAAGAAAAAGUGAAAAAAAAAAAAGUAAAAACAAAACGUGAGUAUGGUUUUCAUUGCCAUAUUUAUAAAAUUAGCCCUAAUGUUUAUCUAGUUUGUCACUUUAAUUUUAAUAUUUUAGUUAUUUUGAAUUUUAAUCAGAUUUUUUUUUAAGAUUAAAAAAAAGUUAGUUGAACGAUUAAAAUUUUAAGCAACUCGCACACAAAAAAUUCAUAAAAAUAAUUUUAAAUUUUUUUAACAGACCAUAUUUUUAAAAUUAUUUAAGUCAACAAUAAAUUACACAUAAAUUACUAUGAAGGUUGUCAUUUUAUUGAUUUUAAAAUUUUAACAAUUUAAUUAAUUUUCCAUUAAAAAAAGUGAUUUGAUUAAUUUAUAAAAGUUAGGAACUAAAAUGAUCCAAAAUAAGAAUUAAGUCUAAAGUGACAAAAUAGAUAAGCAUUCGGAAUUUUUUUUUUUUUUUUGAGUAAAAAAGGUUGGUAGUUUUCUAAUUAAUUGAAUCAAAUGAGGUAGAAAAUAAUAUAUGGCGGUGGAAUAGGACAUACUUCCGGGCUUGUGUUGUCCCUCAAAAUAGGUAAUAAAGAAAAUGAAACAUUAGGAAGUUAGAAUUUGAUGGUCAAAAAAUGGAGAAAAUGGAGGAAAUCUCGGGUUAGCCAUUUCACCCAUUGCAGUAUAAAAAUGGUGAAGAUGGACAAAGGUAAAAACAGUGUGGAAGCAUCUUCUUCCGCUCAUAUAAGUAGUGAAUAAUAAGGAAAGGGUUUUCAAUAGUUGUAGAAAGAGAGCCCUAGCAGUCAUUUAAACUUAUAAACAGAGAGAGAUGGCAGCCGAGGUGAUCUUGAAGCUCACAAUAUGCUUCCUAGCAUUAAUGGUUGGUGUCCAAGGUGGAGACCCUUACUUAUUCUUCACAUGGAACGUCACCUACGGCACCAUCUCUCCAUUGGGAGUUCCUCAACAAGGAAUACUCAUUAACGGUCAAUUCCCAGGACCCGAAAUUAAUGCCACCAGCAAUAAUAAUAUCGUGGUCAAUGUGUUCAAUAACCUUGAUGAGCCAUUCCUUUUAACAUGGA
rnacentral:lncRNA from 1 species